rnacentral:lncRNA from 1 species
CUCAUAACUUUGGACCCGAUGCCUGUAUAACAAGAAGCUACAUAUUGCAAUCACAAAACACAAGCUUGCAACGGAACCCAAACUUAAGCCCAUAGUUAAAAUGAGGUUUUGGUUUGCUUCGCUUAUCAACAUUGGACUUGUUUCAGGUGGGGGGCUAAUGGUGCUACCCGGAAUCAACUUGAUGAAGGCUGUGGUUGUUAUAUUUACAUGUUUUCUACCAUAUUUAAGCGGCAAGGAAUACAAGCUACAGUGAUUUGGGCUAUAAAGAGCUCCACCACAGGAGCAAUCAUCCUCGCAAGCUUUCUUACAGUCUUCCUUCUCCAGAUUACGCUUCACAGAAUAAAGAUUACCAGCCCAAGACAUAUUGUCUAAGGUAGUGCUAUUGUUGUGUAUCACUACAUCUCUCUUAGUCUCGCACCCAUCUACAGUGAAAUUCUGAGAGCAACCCAGGAAUUUGGCAUUCUCGUCGAUAAAUAUGAAACCAGGAUAGCAAUAGCACUCAGUAUCGUUACCGCUGCUGGUGGAGCAGUAGCUGUUCAACCCACACCGACCUGGAAUCUCACAUUCAUCAUCCAAAUUCUGCCACUUGUUUGACAUAGUAUUGCUUUCAAGUUGAUGCGAGUACAAUCUGAAAACACCGUCAUAAUCAAGGGUUGCUCUAUAGAUAAUCAUUGUUUCGUUCCCAGCUAUCGAGCCGUUUGCCAAAACGUUUUCUUUGUCGAAACUUAGUGAUGAAUACAGUACUAGAACGCCACUCUCCUUGAGAUUCAACACGGGGGAAGAAAAGCCAGUACGGAAGACCCAGUACUCAUAAGCAGCUGCAGAAAAAAUAUUUAAACCGGCUACAAGCCCAUAAGACUUCAAGAGCAUAUAAUAAUGGCCAGUUGAGUGGUUUGAACUUGACACACUGGAAAUCAACUCAAGGCUUAAAUUCUGGCCUCCUAAGAUUGUGUCGGUCGGGAUAUCAAAGCUCUCCCAAACAACAGACCUGUUCUCGUAGAGCACUAGAUUCCCGGUGUCCAGCAACGAAGCUGAAUCAACAAAAUGCACUCCGGACAGAUUCGCAAUGGCAUUUUCCACACCGCCCUCAGUCCGAAGAAGCAAUACGCCUUGUGUAGUGAAUUCCAAAGUAGCAUUUGAGGUGACAGGCGGGUCAUCUCUUUUUGCAGUCCAGACAAUGGUGUUUUCUGGUCGACCAACAAGCCAUAUUCCGGCCGCAUAUCUUUCUCCUUGCCGGUAGAAACCAAAUUCGAAAUUCCCCGAAGGUGAGGCCCACGAACUAUGCUGUUUUCCGGCAUAUAGUGAAGAACCGGGUUUGAUAAUGUUUGCCUCGUCUUCUUCAGCUAUGACAUUAACAGGGAAAGAAACCAGAAGGAACAGCAAGAGAAUAAUAUUUGACGGUACAUGAGCCAUAACUAAGGUUGGGGUGUAAGCAAGGAGAUAAGGGAGAAGAAGCCCUUCUCUGAAUUUGCUUAGCUAAGCCUAAGGGUAAACUAAAAAUAGUACAUGUCCGGAUGAGAAAGUUUUUCGUUUUCUAACAUCAUUUUCCCUUCUGCAGACUUCUGGCCAUAUCUCAUACACCCUUAAGCAUUGAGGGUAUUAUUUUGGUCGUUGUUCCUAACAUUGCAAGAACGAAUAAAAGAAAUGCUCAUCAUAUUGGAUAAGAGUAGGUGUAUUGAAGGUGUUGUGUUUUAUAUGUUUAUUUACUUGGUGUAAUUGUUUUCAUUGAAUGUGUCGAAAACAUAAUUUAGAUGAUUAUGAAUGUAAAUACUAAUAAUACCUCCUUUUAAACAUAAUUUUUUUCUUUCAUUUUGAUUAAAGUUGGGGGAUUUUAUUAAAGUGUUUAUCAACUUUUAAGGGUUAAAUUUAUAUUAGAUUAUUAUUUCUUUUUUGUAAAUUAGCAAUAUAUAUGUAUUGAAUUUAAUUAUAUUAUCCGAGUAAAUAUUGAUUUUGAAAAAAAAAUAUUUGUGUUGUAAAUUAGUAUUAUAUUUAUAAUAUUUAUUUUUACUCUUUAACAUUUUUGCAUUGUUUAUUAUUAAAAUUCAAUUUACAAAAUAAUUGUUAUCUAUUUUGUGUUUAUGUCAAGCUUUAUAAUAUAUUUUCAUAAUUUAUUAUAAUGAUAUGAAAGUUUUAAUAAAUUUAUACAAGUUAAAAUGUGUGUAGAGGUGUUCAUAGGUCAAACUCUAACAAAAUUUUAGGUUUGAUCGAUAGGUCUGGGCUCAACUUAAAAAACAGACUUAAAUUUUUUUCCAAACUCAACCUAGAUUACAAAUGUUAAAUCUGGGCCCUGAUCAACCCACCCAUAUUAAAGCCUAUAGUAUUUAUACAAUAAGAAACGUAUCGAUACUUGUUACGAGGUGUCAAUACCUUAGAAAGGGUGUCAAUACUCAAACACUUUUUCUUUAGGCAUGUAUCAAUACCUUCCCCAAGGUGUCGAUAUUUUAGGUAUGUAAGGUAUCGAUAUCUUGGUCAUGUAUCUGGGUCGAGCUGGUCUCGGCAAAAAACACCUUUCUCAAGGCCUGAUUUGUUUUCUAAACGAACCUUUUUUUUUGCCCAAAUUUAUUUUUCAGGUCCAUAUUUUUACCCAAAUUCUCCCAUUUUUCAAGUGGGCCUUCGCUUUUGUACUUUUAGCGCAUUUUAAAUUGAAUCUCUUUACUUUUAUUUCAAGGAAUUUACUUUCCUAUUUUCUGAUUUAAAAAUGUAAGUCUAAUUAUUAAUAUUGGUAAUUUUUUCAAUUAAAUUUAGGUUUAACAUAACAUCAUUGUUUUAGUUACAUGACUACCAAGUGAGUAUUUUUUCUUAUUUUAAAAUGUUAGACCAACAAAUUUAACCAAAAAAAAAUUAAACGAUGUUAACAAUUGCACCUGAUUUGAAAUGUAAAGUGUAGAUGGACUAAUUCCUAGAAAUAACAUUAUAUAAAUUAAAUUUAAAAUUUACAAAGAGUACAUGAACUUAUAGCAUAUUAUAAUCGUGUGUAUAUUGAUUCGAGUUUAUAUCAAAUAAUCUCCUAUUUAAAAAUAUAAAAAAUAUUUAAAUGACUUUUUUCUAUGGAUCCAAUUUAAAGAAAUUUUAUUUUAUUAAUUAUUUUUAUUUUAUUUUACAAAUAUAUAUAUAUUUAUUUAAAGCUAUUUAUUCAUAAGUUGACUUGGAUUGAUCUAGAGUUAGUAUUCAACUAAUUAGAAAAUAUAAAAUAUUUUAAUAUAGGCUUAAAUGAUGUACUAAAAAAGUUAAAGAGUAUGGCGGAGUUGAUUUAACAUUUUUUUUACUAUUAAUUUUCAUGUAUAAUUAUUUAAUAAUUAAAAUAUACAUAUAUAUUUAUGAUUUGAAAUAUGAAUAAAAUUAAAGUUUAACCUUGAUAAUAGUUGUUAUAUAUAUAUAUAUAUUAAAAAUUGAUGAUUUAUUUUUUAUUGUAACUUCUUUUAAAAUAUUUAAAAUUUAAAAUUUAUAGAUAAUUUAAAAGGGGUAGGAUUUUUUAUUUUAAGAUUGAAAGGGGAAAAUUUUAAAUUUGUAGAGAAUUUAAUGUAAUAAAAAUCAUCUUAAAUGGGGUAUUAUGUAAAUUUUAAAAAAAUUAAGAAACGUAGCCCCUACCUGCACCUUGUAUCCGCCAAUGUAUAUAUAUAUAUCAACUAAUGUAAUUGUUCCCAUAAUUUUAUGAGCUAUUGAAGAUAAAAAAAGCAAAAGAAAGAUUUAAAAAUUACCUAUCCUAUAAUUAAAAGUUUAAUAUUAACAAAGCUUAUGAGAUGUUGCUACACUAAUACAAUCGAAAGCUCAAAAGCACCGUUAAUUUUGUCACUUUCAAGGAAUACUAAAAGUUUUGUAGGAGUAAAAGCCAAAAUAUUAACUCUCUCCAUCUUCACAAACACUAUCUUAGCAAUUCGAUCUGUGACUGAGUUAACUUCUCUCAUAACAUGUCUGAUCUCCCAAUGUUCGAAAUUUCGUAGCUUCUGUUGGAUCCACCUAACUAAUGUUGAUCUCGAACUAGUUGUAAAACUCCUUUGCAAAACAAGGAUCACCUCAAGGCUAUCCAUGUGAAUUGAUGAUCUAUUCAAGCCUCGAUUUUGUAAAAAACUUAGCCCAUCAAAAAUACCCUGUAGUUCAACUUUAAAGAUGAACACAUCCCUAAAGAGUGAUUGAAGUCCAAAAUUCAAUUCCCUUGAUCAUUCCAAAUCACUCACACUAUAGAAGUAUUAUUACCUAUGCUCAAAUUAACAAAACCAUCCAUCUUUAUGAAGUUUAUGCUUUUUGAAAAGGAAAGAAGUUAAUGCUUUUGUUUGAAAAAAGAGAGUCAAAUACGAAUUUUUUACCUAGAUGGUAUUAAAAAAAAAACUUAAACAAUACAACUUUAAAUUUAAAUACGAAGAUGGUAUGACCAGGGUGGUCACGCCACUGCCAGAGGCGGCACCACCCUGGUCUCUAACACAAAAUAGUUAAAAAAAUAGUUAAAAAAAAAACUGACUGAAACGAAAAAAAAAAAGGUUGUAGAUAUUGGUGGUGGGCCUGCCACAGGCGGCACCGAUGGUGCCAGUGCUAGUGGCGGCACCGCUGCUCCUACUGCCACCGGAUGUGACUUUUCAAUCACGGGGGUUUUGGGGGGUUUUGGCUUCUUCUCUGUUGGGACCAUAUAUUAUGGUCCCCUAGCUCAUUUGGGGAAGAAAGGAGAGAAAAGAAAGAAAGAAGAGAAGAAGAAGGAGCAAGACGUGAGGGAAGGGAAGAAAAAAGAAAAAGAAAAAGAGAAGGAGAAGAAGAGGGAGGGAAGGAAAAAGAAGGAAAAAGAAGGAAAAAUAGGGUAAAUUUUUUUUAAACAAGUAUUUUAGACACUACACUAUUAUUAUUGUUGAUUUGAAUAUGAUUUAAUUUAGAUUUAAUUUAUAAAUUUAUUUUUUUGCAAGGUGUUAUUUGAUUAAAAAGAGAUAUUAAGGUAUGUUUGUAUUUAUUUUAUAUUUUUAUUCAUUCAUUCCUAAUUUAUUUUUAAUUUUUAUUGAAAUAAAAAAGCUUAUGUAUGUUAUGUGUAAAGAACGUUUUAUUAUUAUUAUUUUAUGUAACUUAUUUGUUAAGUGUGUUUCAGGGGUUUUUUACCCCAAUAUUAUAAAAAAAAAUUAUACACGAAAAUAGGUUGUUAGUCAGAUUAAAUACGAAAAUGGUAUUUUUUUAGGUCGUGCCUACCUGAUAGGCGCAACCUAUUUUUUGAUAUUAAUUUUUUUUGUUUAAAAAAUUAUUAUUAUAUUAUUUUUUUUCGUGUUAGUAUAGAACCCGGGUAUAUGUAAGGGAACAUACAUACAUGUUGCGCCUAUCUGACAGGCUCAACUAGUAUGUUUAAACAAACCAUUAAUUUUAAUAAUGCAUACUUUAUCCGGAUGAAGUAUGUAUUAGCAGAUUCACUAAUAUGAUUAUAUAUAUAGAUAUUUACGCAUGUAUCACAUUACAAAAAUAAAAAUUAAAAUACUUAUACAUAAUAAAACAUGUAUCUCAUUACAAUAAUAGUUAUUUUCCAAAUAACAUAUUGUUUUAUAAUUUUAUUUCUUAUUUAAUAUUUUAAUUUUAUUUUAAUAAUGCAUACUUUAUCCAAAUAAAGUAUGUAUUAGUAGAUUCACUUAUAUGAUUAUAUAUAUAUAUAUAGAUUUACGCAUGUAUCACAUUACAAAAACAAAAUUUUAAAUAAUUAUAUCUAAUAAAACAUGUAUCUCAUUACAAUAAUAGUUAUUUUCCAAAUAACAUAUUGUUUUAUAAUUUUAUUUCUUAUUUAAUAUUUUAAUUUAAUUUUAAUAAUGCAUACUUUAUCCGGUAGCAGUAGGAGCAGGUGGGGGGUGUUGGGCCUACCUGUCAGGCGCGACUAGUCGCACCUACCUGACAAGCUCGACCCGUUUUAGGUAUUUUUUUACCCGUACAAAACCCGUAUUUUUACACAUAUAUUAAUAUAAAUAUUAAAAUAAUAAUAAUUUUUUAAACAAAAAAAUUUUAAUAUUAAAAAAAUGGGUUGCGCCUGUCAAGUAGGCGCGACCUAAAAAAAUAUACUAUUUUCGUAAUUAAUCCAGCUGGCAACCCAUUUUCGUGUAUAAUUUUUUUAUAAUAUUGGGGUAAAAAACUCGUGUUUCAGGUUGAUUAGAUAUAUUUUUUAUAAAAUUUCUUUGGCAUGUUAUAUUCUAAUUAUUUUAAUUUUUUUAUUUUUUAUGUGAUGUGGUUUUUAUACUAUUUUAUAAAAAUAGUAUAAAAAAAGAAAAUAUGAAACAAAUAUAUUAAUGAAAAAAUAAAAUACGAAAAGAAAUAGAAUAUGAAAAAAAUAGAAUAAAAUACGAAAAAUAAUAUAAAAAUAAAAUACGAAAAUAGUAUAUUUUAAAAAUAAAAUCCAAAAAUUUUAAAAAUAUAAACAAAGGGACAAAAUUAGGUUAUUUAAAAAACACUAAAAUAAUACAUUUGAAACAUUAUGUACUAAAAUAAGAUAAAAAAUAAAAUACGAAAAUAGUAUAUUUUAAAAAUUAAAAUCCGAAUAUUUUAGAAAUACAAACAAAGAGACAAAAUCAAGGUUAUUUUAAAAACACUAAAAUAAUACAUUUGAAACAUUAUGUACUAAAAUAAGAUAAAAAUAAAAUAUGAAAAUAAUAUAUUUUAAAAAAUAGAAUCUGAAAAUUUUAAAAAAUUUAGAAAUACAAAAAUUUUUUAUUUCCCAAUGAAUUUAAUUAAAAUAUUUUACUUAUUAAAUUAAAAUAUUAUACGAAUUUUUUUAUUUCCUAAUAAAUUAAAUUAAAAUAUAUUAAACUACAUGUCGGGUGUAUUAAAUAUAUUAUAUUUUAAACCAAAAUAUUUUACUUAUUUUAUAUAUUUUAAAUUAUAAUAAAAACAUUUGUAUUUGAGUUGGAUAUAUUUAUUUUUUUAAUGUAGUAUAGCAAAAAUAUAUGUUGUUGAAAACACUGUUUGCUAUUUUUUUGUAAUUAAAAGUAAUAUAUAAAAUUUAGUUAUUCUAAUAAAUAUUUAAAAUCCAUCAAACAUUAAAAUUAAUAAUUGAAAUUUAUUUUUGAAAUUGCAGGCAUCGCAAUGGCUUCAUUGAUCAAGAAGGAUGUUCCUCACAUAUGUGACACAGUUAAUAAGAUGGUAAAAUAUUGUUAUUUAUUAAUCACGGGUUCCAUUAAAAAAAUAUUUACGUAAUUUAAGGAAAUAAAUUAUGUUAUUAUAACUAUUUUCUGUAAUUUAACACUGUCAGGACUCGUAUCGCGUAUUAAGGGGUCGGGUGAAUGGUUUAGGAUAUUCCCCAGAUGCACGACUGAUGCCCUACUUGGAGCUAGCUGGAUUCGGGUCAGCAACAUUGACCCGAACGUUCAAUUUGCGGUAUGAUUUAAUAUCUGCAUUGGUCGAGCAUUGGCGAUCGGAGACCCACACUUUUCAUUUGCCGUGUGGGGAGUGCACUGUCACUCUAGAGGAUGUUGCAUUGCACUUUGGGCUCCCAAUCGACAGGGAUGCUGUCACGGGCGUAAGUGCGAUAGUUGAGCCAGCUGCACUUUGUUAUAGCCUACUAGGAGUCUCGCUCGGCGAUGCUAAUUCUACUUUUUCGGAGUUGAAAUUUACAUGGCUAAAAGCCAAUUUUUAGCAUUUAUCAGUUAAUGCCACUGAAAAAGAGUUGGUGUGCGCAGCUCAAGCGUACAUUAUGCAUAUCAUAAAGAGUUGGUGUGCGCAGCUCAAGCGUACAUUAUGCAUAUCAUAGGGGGUGUACUGAUGCCCAAUUCCAACAACAACAAGGUUCAUCUCCAGUAUUUACCUCUAUUAGCUGAUUUGCGUAAUGUUCACUCGUAUAGUUAGGGUUUCGCAGUUCUGGCUAUGUUGUAUCAUAAGCUUUGUCGGACGAUAAAACCUGAUGCCAUAGACAUGGGUGGAUGCCUUGUAUUGUUGCAAUCAUGGGCUCUUUAUUGGAUGCCAUUUUUGGCAUCGAUUAGUCACCAACCAUACGUAUUUCUGCUAGUUAACAGGUGAUAAAAUUUAACUUGUUAGCAAUUGACAAUUUCUUUAUAAUGAUACUAUUCUAACGAUACUAUAUUUACUUGAAAAUUGUUUUCGUAGAUGGAGUAUUUAUCUGGGUAUCGGGAGGUCGUACACUAUCCCGAUAUAUCGUUUAAUGAUUGAACAACAUGCCGAGGAAGGGGUAAGCUAUUCAAAUAUUCGUGACAUGUAAUUGUUUUGUAUAUCUUACUCGAAUGGUGUUAAAUUUUAACCAUGGUAUUAAUCAUGCAGUUUAUAUGGAUGCCAUAUCGUAGACCAGAAAUUGCGGCUAUUAUACUGUAACAGUCCGAUUUAGACCCUAAUCGGAACGGUGGUUUCAGGACCACGAAUUCGAGUCAGAAAAAUAUUUAAAAAUUAUUUUUUGUGUUCAUUAUGUGUGAAUUAAUAUCUUUGAAAUUUUUGUGAUUUAAUUUUAUUGUUUGAGUGUCUGAUUAAAUAAAAAGACUUAAUCGCGUAAAAGGAAAAGCUGGUGGUUAAAUGUGAAAGUGCUAAAUUGUUGUUGUCUUUAUAAGUAGAGGCAUUUAUAAUGCAAUUAGACCAAAUUUAUGAGUAGUGGACGGUGAUGGCUUUAGAUUAUAAUGAUUUUAUAUUAAAAUUAAAAGGUUAAAUUUUUUUAAUGGAAUAAUAUGUUAUAAUAUAAUAAAACAUAAAAAGAAAACAUGCAUGUAUUCAUUUUUAUUUGACCGAAGCUAGUGAAAGAAAAGCAAAAGAGAAAGCACAUGAUAUUUGGCCAUUGUUGAUCCAAAUUCAAGGUUAGUUUGGUUUCGGUUUUUGAUAAUUUUUACGUUUUUGAGAUCGUUGCUUCGAGUACUAUUCGACCUAUGCUUAUUUUUUUUUAUUUUGAUGAAUAUUUUAAGUUAUGCCAUUGAUAAGAGCUUGUGAUUUUUGUUGUUUGAGGAUGAAAUAUGAAAAAUAUGUUUUAGAUUAACAUGUUUUGUAUUGGAGUUUUUGAUGAUUUUGAGUUAAUAGGUCUGAAUUGAAAAAAUAAUAAAUUGAAGGGCUAAAAUUCAAAAUAAAUAAAAUACAUGGACUAGUAUGAGUAUGUUGAAAAUUCGGCCCAACUAUGUUGUUGUGAGAUUUGGUGUAUUUUGUGUUUUGUGCAAUUAGGACUAAAUAGUAAAAAUAUGAAAUAUCAGGGGUAAAAUAGUAAUUUUCCUAUUUAUGUGUUUUUGGAUUAAAUUGAGUGAAGUUGUGUUUAAAUGAGGUUAAUUUGAAAUUAUAUAGAUCAAGAACAAAGGAAAUGAGACUUGGAUCGGGGAAAAAUAAAAAUAGUUGAAUAGUUGAUUUGUAACGUCUGUCGAUAUCCAAGGUAAGUCUUUAAGUAAUUAAGCAUGGUUUAUUUUGAACAUAGAAUGAUUUAAUAUGAUGAUUCGAAUUUUAUAAUGUAUUAGUUUGAUAGCUGAAUGAGAUAUGUCAAUGAAUUAAUGUGAUUAAGUUGUAUUUGAAUGAUAUCAAAGCUUUAGAAAAUGUGUAUGUGUUGCAUGGAAUAUUAUACGAUUCGAUAUAUGUGAAAUGUUGUGGAAUGAUUAUAUGUUUGUGAUGUUCGGGCUUUGAGCCUAGCAAGCCUUGUGCUGGUGACUUUGUUCGGGCUUCGUGCCUAGCAGGCUUACUGCCGGUGAAUGAAUUUCAGACCUUGGGUCUAGCAGGCCUUGUGCCGGUGUUGAAUCAGGCUUAUGCCUAGCAGGUUUUAUACAGGUGAAUUGUUCUCAAGUUUAUGAUUAGAGAGUUUAAGAUAUUGUGGAUAUUGAACAAUUAAAGUUAAGCUGUAAAACAUUGUAUAUGUUCGGCCAAACAGGUAAGUACAAGUAAGCGUAUAUGAAACUUGAGUAUUCGAUUACAUGUGAAUUUAUUUUGAACACGUGUAUUUGGUUACAUGUGAGUUUAUAUUGAACUUAUAUUUAUAUACAUUCGAUACAUGUGAGGUUAUAUUGAAUUCGUAUAUUCGGUCAUAUGUGUUGAUUUAUUGAGUUGGAAUAUUGGAUUAUUGUGAUAAUAUAUCUUGAACUUAUAUAUAUUCGGCCUUAUGAGAUAAUAUAAUGUACCUUUCGAAUUUGGAUAUAUAGGUAAGUAUUUAUGUGGUAUUAUAUUUGAUCUUGAAUAUUCGGCCAAGGUAAAUUAUUUGAGUAAAGUAUAUCUUUGAUGGUACAUUUCGGCUUGUAUAAAAUGUUUUGAUCAUUCAUUUAAGCUAUUUAAAUUACUUAAAGCUUACUAAGCUAAGUUAGCUUACUCCGUAUGUUUUGUUAUUCUAUUUUUAUAGAUUUUGGUUGUAAGUUACGAGUUUGGGGAUCGUGAUUGAAGUCAUCCUCACUAUCGUCAACUUUCGGUACUUUUAAAAGUUUAUUUUUAAACUUUUGGCAUGUAUAAGCUAAUACGUAUUUUGUUCGACCUUGAAUAUGUAUAACUUUAGCCAUACGAAAAUGGCUUAAUUUCCAUGAUAGAUUCGUUCAUACUUGGAUAUGGUUUGAGCUUACUUUUAGUUGAUGUGUUAUAAAUUAUAAGUGAAUGAAGUAUGUGAUAUAUAUAUGGUAUGUUUGAUAAUGGUUCGUUGAUGUUAGUAAAUUUGAAAGUGGAUUGAUGAAAUGAUUAUCUCAUAUAUAUAUAUAAAUUUUAUGAUAUAAUUAUUUGUUUCGGUUUAGGUUUUUGGUUUGGUAAAAUAUAUUUGGAUAAUGAGUUUAGAAAAUGUAACUUCUAAGAUGUUUAUACAUGUUUUCAUGUGCGAAUGUAUAUUUGUUUGUGAUGAAUUAAAAUUGAAAAGAAAAUGAUGAUAGGUGGAAUUGGCUAUGGUUGGUCACUCGGUUUUGAUAUGUAUAAAUAUAAAUAAAGUAUGUUUAAUAUUUAGUUAGCCAUGCGUUUAAUAUAUCUAUGAGUAUGACUUGUAUGAAUAUCUAAAUGUUUGGAAUUUUUGUUUUUUUUUUCAGUAAUGCCUCGUAAUCCUAGUCCGGCGACGGAUACGGGUUAGGGGUGUUAUAUAUACCCUCGUCUGCCUACGUUGAUUCUCAAUUGUGGUGUACUAAUGCACCAAUUAUCAGUUUUAAUGUAGUCAAGUGGUACCACGGGGAUUGAGUACUACGAUAGUUUGGUUGCAUCCAGUAUAUCCCGGAUCCGCCAAUGCAGGUGAGAGAGGUUCACGACAUCAACAAAAGAGGGAAACAUGGACAGCAUUGGGGGGUUACGUACCGAAGAUUUGUUGCAGUGUGGGAGAAUCGGAUGGCUCGAAGACCUCAGAUGGAUAUUUCUUCCGAUUUGCGACCAUCGUUAGAGUACAUACAAUGGUACUCUAGUAUGGGGAAGCCAUAUUUACUUGGCGGGUAGUCUACUAUAAUCCCACCGCACAUGCAGCGAUCUGAGGCAUACGAGCCAGUGGUCGAUAUAGAGCCCGAUCCAAAUCCAGAUCUUGAGCUUGACCCAGAGCCAGAGGCCGAGUCUGAGCAAUCGUAUUCACAUUCGGCUAAUACUUCUUAUCAUCCGGAUUUCCAGAGUAAUGACUAUUUACCGGGCUCGUCAUCACAUUCACAUUCAGUCGAUACUUCUUAUCAUCCGAAUUUGCCGAGCAAUGACUAUUUCCCGGGCUCGUCAGGGGGCGGAUACCAUUAUGGGUUUGAUAUCUUUGGGUCGUACCCACCGCAGCACAGCACUUCUCCCGGCCCAUAUCCACUGUAUUAUAGCACUACCCCCAACCCCUAUCCGUUGCAGUACUUCACUCCUAUUGGGUUGUAUCCACCGCAGCAUGGCAUUCCUCCCGGCUCAAGUUCGUCUAUGCCAUUCGAGCCAUAUGAUUUUUCUUCUAUGUAUUAGACACCCUCACCUGCGACUGAAGAGGAUGUUGGUUGUCUCAAUCACCCACAACGUGAACGUCGACCUCUGCAGAAAUAUACCCCUAGGACUACACCAUCGAACCAUCAAUUUUAGGGGUCUCUUGGGGUUUUGAUAUUAAAAAGUUUGUAUUUUUUUAAUAUAUUUAAUUAGAUUAAUUGGAACUUUGAAAAUUAGAACAAUAUUUAACCAUAACGUAAAUUAGAUUAAUUUGGACAUUUUUUAACAUUAAAACACUAAAACUUGUAACAAAUUUAGUCUACUAAUAUAAAUUAAAUACAUUACAACAUUAAUCUAAUUGGAACAAACUUUGCAAUAUAAUUUUUUUAUAUAAAUUAAAUACAUUACAACAUUAAUCAAAUUGGAACAAACUUUGCAAUAUAAUUUUUUUAUAUAAAUUAAAUACAUUACAACAUAAGCUCAAUUCCUACCGGAUCGUGACGAUUGUCCAACAUGAUAGUUUUGCUGCGGGCAUUUGUUUCAGGAAUGACCAGCUAACCUAUAUAAUCCACAACGCUUACCAUCAAAUUUCUCCCUAAUGUCCAUUUCAUUGCAGAUUCUAGAUGAUUGCGGACGACCUCUCUGAUUCCUACGUAGCCCUCUGUCUGGGACAAGCUCGAAAGUCGUCAGAGGUACCUCCCACGUAGAUAGGUCAGGUAGGACGGGGAACUCAUUUUCCCAGACACAUAACGUGCGCUCAAGUGUGUAUACAUCAUCGAUAAAUUGUUCAACAUUAAGGUUCAUUUUAGCACAUGCUGCCAUGACAUGCGCACAUGGAUAAUGAAGUAUUUGGAAUCUCUUGCAAUCGCACCGUCUGUUCCAGAGAUCAACUCCAUAGGACCUAGGUGGUAUGCCAGGUCGACGACUAAUGGUCUCCGCAACACGAAACGUUUCAAGGUGUCGUGAAUAUAUUUCUACAUUCAUCGACCUCGCCAUCCGACGGUUUACAACCAUUGCAUCUCUAACAUCUUCGACAAACACGUGUUCUGUCUCCAUUUGGUUGACUUAUUGUUGACCCAUUCUUGGCAUCAAAGUAGCCAACCUGUAGAAUGUAGCCGAGAAGACAGAUGAAAUCGGAAGAUGUCGUGUUUUCAACAACAUAGCGUUGACCCCCUCCACUAAGUUUGUGGUCAUCUGACCAUAACGAAAGCCCUUGUCAAAACUUUGAGCCCAUUGCCACAGCUUCAUAGUACCCAACCACUGUCAGAAAGAUGUAUUCGUUUGACCCUCCAUGUCACUCUCAAGUUGAAUCAUUCUUUGGCGAAAAAUGUGUGGCUCUAGCUCAUGCGCUGUAUAUGUAUAAAGAAAAGAUAAGUUACAAUAUUGCCCUAAAACAUUAAAACUUAUAUUGAAAAUAUAAGGUAAUCAUUUACCCAUUUUCAAAACUUGUCUCUUCUAGUCUGCAUUCUUAUAAUCUCGAUGGAAGUUAGCCACGAUAUGUCAAACGCAGUAAAUGGAUCUCCAUGGUAUACUGGAACGUCUAAUGGCAGCAAUUAAUCAUUUCUCUCUAUCGGAGAUGAUGCAAAUAUUAUCGUUGCUAAUAACAUACCUUCGCAGGUUGGUAAGGAAUAAUUCUCACGAUUUUAUGUUCUCCUUAUCUACGAUGGCAAAUGCUAUCGGGAGCACGUUCCUGUUGCCAUCUUAAGCAACUGCAAGAAGUAAGAUCUGUGUAUAUUUUCCAUAUAGUCAGGUCCCAUCCACUUGCACAAAUGGCUUGCAGUGGGGAAAUGCGCGUACACAUAGAUCAAAAGUCUAGAACAUCCGAUGAAAAUUUGUUUCCCGACUGUAAUUGGUUAUCCAAGGUCGUAAUAAGGUCGUGUCUGUAACUCAAUUACAGUCUCCGGUACGUAUUCUCGCAUAGCGGCUAUCCAUCCCUGUAGCUCGUUAUACAACGCAUCAAAAUCCCAAUACAAUUGCUCCAUUACCAUCUGUUUAGCUAUCAACGCCUUUCGAUAUGAUAUUUAAUACUGAAAUCGUGUCUGCAUUUCGGCUAUCAGUACCAAAACUUUAAUUUUCGGCAUGUCCUUCACCAUUGGCAUGAUACACAUACAGAUAGUUUUGGAAUCAAGUUUUUCAUGAUCUUCUGACAUAUGUGUUGAUGUGUAUGUGUGAGGCCCAACAAAUUUGCAUAUCUCCCACAUCUGCGAAUUUUGAAUAAAUGCAGCUCGUACCUGCCAAUUGUAGCCUUCCGCCGACUUCCAACAUUCCCUAAUAUAUAAUGUCGAUUUAGACACUGCAACUUUGUAAUCCACUGAUAUAUUCAUGCUAUACCGCUUAAUAGCAAAAACACACUCUUCUUUACUUUCGAAUCUCUAGCCUACGAACAACUCCUUAGGUUCUGAACUUACGGCCAGCCGGUGAGCAGGAAGUAUUUCAGGGUACUCUGGGAACUCAACUGCAUGCGCCGCGUCGGGGUCUAUGAGCGACAUGUGUGGCCUAGGAUUAUUGUGUAUCACAAUGCGUCGCAUCUGGUUCCUGACCGAUAACGCGUUAAUGCUUCCAUCGUCAUUCAUGUCUUCAUCGUCAAUAUCAUCGGGGACAUCGUCCACAUCGGGAUCAGUAUCACUAUCGACCUCUUGAUCACAAGGAUCACUACUAUCGAAUCCAUUAUCACCAACCACAUCAAUAUCGGGUGUAACAUUAAGAUCGACAUCACUCCCACGUAUAGUCGAUUCACUAUCAACGUAUGAUAUUGGAGCCACCAUGCACGGUUCUUGAGCUCCAUGUUCUUCAUCAUAUGCAUUGAGAUCAUCAUUUUGCUCCAUACCGGCUAACUCAGCAAAUAAGUGAAUCGGUGCAUUUUUGUUACUCCCAUUCCCACAGUAAAGAGCGAUCAUUGUCUCCACGUCUUCGUUGUCUACAAGUUUCAUUUCGGUGAAUUUGAUGGGAUCUGUCGAAAUAGGAAACUUGUAAAAAAGUUUCGAGAUCCUUCAGGAAACUUGUAAAAAAGUUUCGAGAUCCUUCUCCCGCAACGUCUAACAAUUUUUGCGUUAAUUCUUCCCUUCAUAUCAUCCAACGAGACAUUUCUAUUAAAUCUCAUUGGUAUUUGUUGCCGACAUUCAAAUAUGCAUCCAAUGGUUGAUGUCAAGAUGAUUCCAUCGAAAUAAACGCAUACGAAAAACUGAUUAUCCAUCUUCAAUACUCAAUCUGUUAAAAAAUAAACAAAAUUUCUCAAAACAAUUUCAAACAACAAAUAAUUUACUUAAAUAAAAAAUUAAUUAAUCAAUAUGUAAUUUUAAAUAUAUUAAAAUAAAACAUAACAUUCACAAUAAACACAUAAUUAAUCUAAAUACAAAACUUACUAAAAAAUCACAAUAAACAAAAUAACUUUUAAAACAAAACAUAAAAAUAACACUAAACAAACUACAUUAAUGCUAACGAAAUAUUUUUUUUCUUAUCAUAAUUUGUUCUAUUUAAAAAUGAAAAAAAAGAAAGAAAGAUACCUUCUAUUUUUUCUCUUCUUUCUCCCUCUCUUCUCUUCUGUAAUCUUUUUUUUACUGAAAUUUUUUUCCUUCUUUCUUGUUUUCUUCUCUUCUCCCUCCCUCUCUUCUUCUGCAAGAUUUUUUUCACUGCUGUGUGCUUCGUUUUAACACUAAGGGGUUUAAAUAGGGAAUUGGGGUGUCGGUGCCGCCUCUGCCAUGUCAUCAACUGGUGCCGCCUAUGGCAGAGGCAAGACCAGUGCCGCCUCUGACAAAGGCAAGAACAGUAUUUUAUUUUUUUCCAAUUUUUUUUCAGAUUCAUUUUUUUUUACUUUUUUCAACUAUUUUCAACUGUUUGUGUCAGGUGGCAGGGUGGUCACGCCUCUGCAAUAGGCGGCACCACCCUGCGCAUACCAUUUUUGUAAUAACUUGGCCUUAGUACCAUUUUAGUAUUUUUUUAUUAUUUUAUAUUAUAUAAGUAAAAAACCCGUCAAAUACAUAAACAUCAGAAUUAAUCCUUCGAUUAAAGUUUUGGUCAAGUUGUCGCUCAAUUGGAACAAAAGGCUUUAAUUAUAAUUCUUUGAUUAAUUAAUUCUGGCGCUCAAUUUUCUUUUCAGGAAUUUAAAACCAUUUCUUGUGUGAAUUAUUAUCUGCUAAAUUAAUGGUAGAUUUUUUACUUUCACAAAUAAGAUCACGAAUUCCUCCGAUGUUUUAUUUAUUUAUUAAUGGUAAAUUUUAUUUAAAGUUAUUAAACUAUUAAUAAGUUUACGUUUCGGUAAUUUAACUUAAAAAAAUUAUAAAAUGAUCAUUGAAUAAUUUGAAAGUUUUCAUUUAAGUCAUUGGAUUGUUAAAAUUAUUGUUGUAUGUUUUUCAAUUGAAAGCUCCCACUUCCAUUCUCUUUUACAGUUUAAUUUCUUUUCAUGAAACAACUUUAAAUUUCACGAAUCUACAAACAAAAAUUCAAACAACGUGAUUCUCUGAUAUUUGAUAUUGACAAUCAAAUCGAUUUGAUCUAAGAUAUUAUGUUCUUCUACUUAGUGAUAGAUAUUGAUCUGCCGUACUGAUAGUCAAAUUGUCACAUGAAACUCGCUAGUCAAACUUAAAAAAGAAAAAAAAAAUUAACAAUUCAAUGACUUAAAUAAAAAUUUUCAAAUAAUUCAAUGAUCAUUGUUUUAAUUUUUUCAAGUUGAGUGACUAAAAUGUAAAUUUACUAAUAAUUUAGUCAAGUUUCUUAUUAAAAUGCGUAAUGAUUUAAUUUAGUUGACCCAAAUGUUGUUUGUAAUUAAAAAAGAAAAAACCAUUUGUCUUUUUUAGGAAGCUUUCAUGAAAUAGAAAGAAACGUGAGACAUUUGGCCUUUCACUUCACUUGGCAAGAAAAGUGUUGGUCAAGUCCACGUACACACUUUUCAAUACCGACGUUGGAAUUUUCCAUGAAAGAAGAAAAAAAUGAAUAUGUGAUCCUUAUUUCCCUGCGCGACUAGUGUUAUCCAUUUGCAAGGGAGGGAGACCCAGCUAGAACAGGAGUAGCAUGCGCGUCGAUGGACCACAACCAAGAGCGACUGUUCUCAUUUGGUAAAACAGUGGAGUUCGAUGACAUACAACAAGGGACAUUAUUUGUAGUCCGGGAAGCAUUAUUUCAUGCAAAAAGGAGUGGCCUCACGGUGGGAAUUUUCAAAGAUAAUGUUAAUAUUUUGGCUCAAAUAGUAGACGGUAAAGGAAAAAGGAAAAAACAUUUACAUUUGGAAACUUAAUGACAUUUAUAGAGGAUAUCAAGAGAUUUGGGAAUGUCAGAUUAAUCGACAAAGAAAUGAGAUCAAUGCGGGGUUGGAUUUCAUUCUAUUACUUUUUACUUUUUAACAUUUUUGCAUUGUUUAUUAUUAAAAUUCAAUUUACAAAAUAAUUGUUAUCUAUUUUGUGUUUAUAUCUAGCUUUAUAAUAUAUUUUUCAUAAUUUAUUAUAAUGAUAUGGAGAUUUUAAUAAAUUUAUAUAAGUUAAAAUGUGAUAUAAUCUUUUAUACUCUUAGUACAUUUUGAAUUCAAUCAUUUUACUUUUUAUUUUAAGGAAUUUAAUCCUCGAUUUUUUAAUUUAAAAAUACAAGUCUAAUUGUUAACAUUGCUAAUUUAUUUUAUUAAAUUUAGGUUUAUUAUAACAUCAUUGUUUUAGUUACAUGGCUAUCAAGUGAGUAUUUUUCUUAUUUCAAAAUGUCACACCAAAAACUUUAACAAUGUUAACAAUUGGACCUGAUUUGAAAUCUAGAAUGUAGAUACACGAAAUUCCUAGAAAUAACAAUACAUGAACUAAAUUUCAAAUUUACAAAGUCUGGGGUAUGCCUCAUACUUUUGGUCGAAUAGACGAUGAUGUCACGCUGAGAAGCUUCCCAAUGUUACGAUGUCGUGAUGACAUGAAUGGGGACGUUGCGAUGUGGCGAUGUGUUCCCCGUAUAAAUCAGAUUUCUUUUCCUAGUUAAACUCUACUAUCUUUUCUUAGUUAAACUCUAAUUACUUUAGGGAUAUUUUAGUAUGAUUAGACCUCUAAUCUUAGCCUAUUUAAAUCGAUCUUGUAUUCCUGUUUUGGGAUACCAAUUAAAAAGACAAUUAAAAAUGUAGUACUACAUAACUUUUCUUUUGGGGGCGACAAGAUGUAGUUACAGAUGAGUAUUGGUAAGAGUUUUUGUGGUAACUAUGGAGAGAAUCUUGUACCCCUUUUUAAGAAAGCUCUGUGAGAGUUGGGGGUUUGUUUUUGAGUUUACUCUAAGAGAGUUAGGGUUUUUUUUUCAAGAUUUAGGUUUGCACGUUUAGUACAUUUAGGUUUAUUUUUUUCAUAUUAUACUCUCGUUUGUUUACUAAUUUAAUGAAAAGUCGAUACCUCUUGUGCCAUGGUUUUUCCCUUUUUGAUAGUUUUCAAGUAAAAUAUUUGUAUUCGUUCUUCACCACUUUUACAAUCUCGUUGUUUACACGGGUCGAUCCCCAACAAACUGGUAUCAGAGCUUGAUUCAGAUUUUGCAACCAACCCAUUCAGGAAUGACGACAACAAAUUUUAAUAUCAAGAAGUUUGAUGGAAUCACAAAUUUCAGAUUGUAAAGCACACAUUUGUUCGUAUAUCACUAACUUUGGUUGCAUUAUACAACCUUGAUUUGAAGAUUAAGAGUAUUUCGAUUUCCAAAUUUGAGAACGGUUUGAGCUUUGUUGACAUUCUGCAAAGAUUGAGUUUGGCUCGUGACGGGGUCUGGAGAAGAAUGUAUGGUAAAUACGCGUCAAGGUGGAGAUUUGUGGGGUACGCCUUAUAUUUUUAGCUAGACAAAUAGCAACGUCACGACAAGAAGCUUCUCGACGUUGUGACAAUGGACAAUGUCAUGACGAUGCAAAUGGGUACGUUGUGACGUGAUGACGUUUUCCCCACAUAAAUCAAGUUUCUUCUCACAGUUAAAUUCUGCUAUAUUUUCCCAAUUAAACUCUAAUUAAUCUAGAGAUAUUUUAAUAUGAUUAGACCUCUAAUCUUAGCAUAUUUUAAUGGGACUUGCAUCCUUUUUUUUGGAAGACCAAGUAAAAAGGCAAUUAAAGGCUUUUCUUUUGGGGGCGUCAAUAUGUAGCCACAAUUGAGUUUGGUGACAGUUUUCAUGGUAAAUAUGGAGAGAAUUCUUAACCCUUAUUGAGAAAACUCUAUGAGAGUUAGGUUUUGUUUUCGGGUUUGCUCUAUUAGAGUUAGGGCUUUGUUUUCUAGGUUUGGAUUUGUAGAUUUAGUACAAUUAGAUUUAUUUUCUCCAUAUUGUACUCUCAUUUGUUUACUCAUUUAGUGAAAAGUCAAUAAUUAUUUUUUUCGUGGUUUUUUCUUCUUUGACUAUUUUUCACGUAAAAUAUUUGUGUUCGUUCUUCUCCAUGUUUACUCUCUCGUUGUUUAGACGAGUCAAUCCCUAACAAACUAGUAAAAGAGCUUGGUUCAGAUUUUGCAAUCAUCUUGUUCAAGGAUGGCGACAACAAAUUUCGAUAUUGAGAAGUUCAAUGGAAUCAUAGAUUUUGGAUUGUAGCAAUUUUAUAUAAAGUAGGGUGACAAUCAAGUGGAGGGAGUUGAUUUGCUCGAUGUUUUCUUUCCUGAUGUGAAGCACACAUCCGUUCAUGUAUCACUAGCCCUGGUUGCAUUAUACAACCCUGAAUUGAGUAUUUAGAGUAUUUCGGUUUCCAAGUUGAGAAUGUUUUGGGCUUAAUUGACAUUCUGCAAAGAUCGAGUUAUAUGUAACCACGUAAUGUUUUAAUAAAAAUGUUAACAAUAUUAAUUAUUUGAACUAGUUAGUAGCAUUAUAAAAAUAUAAAGACUAAUUAUAUUAGAAAUUAAAAAAUAAAAAUGAAAAUUAAAUUUUAAAUUUAAAACUAAGAAUUUAAUUAUUAUUAUUUAAAUAUAAAAAUAAGAAAAAGCACUUGUAAACAAAAAGGGAGGUGGACAUUCCUCAUGGUCCCCAUGCAUGCUGCCGUGUUCAUUACCUUCAAUGCCGUGAGUCUCUUAUGGUUUUGGGCGCAAAGUCAUUUAUUUUCUUCAAUUCGAAAGCGAUAGAUGGACCCUACAUAUUAGUAGAUGAAAAAAUAAUGAGUGAAUCUUAACCUUUCAAAUAAGUGAAAAAAGAAGUAUUGGUUGAAUCGAUAUUCUACCAAUUCACUAGAAUCCUAAAUUUUUACUAUUUUAUUUUAUUUUUUGUUUUAAAAUGUUUUUUAUAAUAUUUUUUCUUUUAAGUGACUAUAGAAUUAUAAUCUUCCAAAUAUAUCAGGUUAUGAUACUUCAAAUAUAUCUAAAAUAACUUUAAACAAAAAGAAAACCCUUCUAAAACAGGUAAAUAUAUCCGUAUUAAACAUUUGUAUUAGAAACUCAUACCUUCAUUCUACUCAAAAUCUAUAUGCAUGAGGGGGAACAAAGGAGAAAAGCAAAAUAAUAGAAACGACGGCAUCAGCAAGCCUGUAUAUUAAAGCAUGCGCCACCCUUACCCAACAUCUAAAAUUAUGUGCAAUUAUGUUACUUAGGAUCAGAGACAAAAGUGUAUUUUACAAAGUUUUCGGGGCCUACAGAUAACCCUUCUGUUGUUAACAUAAAUCUUAACCAAAAACACAUAUAUUGUAGAUAUAUACUCCUAUGAUCACAAAAAGAGGAAAAUGGCUUCAGCUGUAUAGCAUCUAGAGGUGUGCAUGGGUCAGGCUACUCGGCCCGACUCGAAGGUCUGCCCGAAAAAUGGGAGGUUUCAGGUAAAGCUCGGGUUAAACUUUUUUGGCCUAGCCCGGCCCGAAUUAUAUACUAAAUAUAUAUAUUUUUAUUUUUAAUCAUAUUUAUAUUUUAUUUUUAAUUUUAAUAUAAUCACUUUUUAUUAUAUUUUCAAUUUGUGUAUUGUUUUAAGAAUUGUUUUAGUAUCAUUUUUUAUUUGUUUCUUGUUUUAAUAUUUAUUUUAAAUGUAUUUGAUUUAUUAUAUUUUAAAAAAAUUAUUUAAUGAAAUAAGGUUAAAAAAAUAAUAUGGGCCGGGCCGGGCCGGGCUCGGACUUAACAAUUUUAUUUCGGGCCGGACUUGAACAAAUUUUUAGGCCCAUAUUUUGGGCCGGCCCCGGACCUAAAAAAGAGCCUAAAAUUUUGUCUGGGUCCAGCCCAAAUCCAGCCCGGCCCAUGCACACCUCUAAUAGCAUGUAGUAGUAGUCUUUCAAACCAUAGCGCUGUACAUAUAUGCAACUAUACCAAUAUCACAUAAGUUGAUCAUUCUUAUGUACCUUUGCCAAAAUGUUUAGCCCCAACGGUUAAAUUGGCAGGUAUGCAAGACUUACCACCUUCACUAAGCAACAAGUUUUUCAUCUCUUUGUAACUCCGAAGUUCCUCUAAUGCAUCCGCCGUUGUCAUUGAUGCAACAAGCCUAGAAGAUGUAAUAAUUGAAGAAGCAUCAUGUUCAACGGUCACAGCCUCUAUGUUCUGGUUUUGCUAUUGGAAGUUGUUAUUCCACAUUUCUGGCCUCGAGGCUUCUGAAAAAUUAAUCGAACUCGGUAUGUCUUGGCGAAGUGGAGGGGCUUUCUUCAGCAACCGUACAAAAGCACCAACUGCAGCAUCUUGGGAUUUUCUAUUCAUAAACAAUCCUGUCUCGUUUGGAUCAGAUGGAUUUCCUUUUCUAUCAUAAGACUCGGGUCUACAUAGUAUGCAAAGCAGGCCAAUUCAGUUUACCCAAAUAAUUCAGGGAAAGAAAAAUAGCAAUUCCAUUUCGUGACAAUUAAGAUAAUGAUCGUGACAAAGGGUAUAAGGCGUUCUCUCCAAUAUCAGAAAAUCUUAAAACGACUCAUUGUGGCUUUGGAUAUGAAUUCCAUGACUCAUUUUCGAUUAACGAUCCUGCUUAAGUUAAUGGUUAAAGGAUUUUCCUGAGGGAACAUUUUGAGCUAACAAUUGCAGAAAAGAGAAUGUCAAAUGUUCAAAUUACCUUUAGAACUUUUGGAUUUCUUCACCCAUGGUAAUUUCAUGGAACCUCAAAAACGUGAAGUAGGCUAAUAAAGAAUAGGGGAGGAAAGAGAGAAACUGGAGAAUCAAAUAAAAACAGAAGUAGGGUUGAGUAUUCGAUUGAAUCGAGUCGAAUCAAGUUAAAAAAUUUUUAGUUAGUAAAUCCUAUUUUAGCAACCGAACUCAAUUUAAAUUUUUUUUCGAAUCGAAUCAAGUAAAAAAAUUUCGAGUUAAAUCGAGUCUAGUUAACGAAUCCUAUUAUUUAUAUUUAAUGUUACGUUUAGAUAGACCAAUUACUUAACUAAUAGACGAAGUAGAAGAUUAUUUAACUGCAUGAACAAUAUAAUAAUUUUGUCUUUUAACUUAAUUAUUUUGAAUUUUAACUUUUAAAAAAGUAAAAUUUUAUCAAAACGAUGUAGUUUUGUCUUUUCUUAUUCGGAUUUUCGGAUAACUCAAAUUGUAUAAUUCAUAUGCGAGUUAAACUAAAAAAAUUAAUUUUUUAUUCGAGUUGAUCCGAAUAACUUAAUUAACUCAAAUAACUUGAAUUAUUUAAUUCAAAAUUUGAAUUUUUUAUCGAAUUUUUCGAUUCGAAUCGGAUUUUGUUCACCCCUAAAUAGAAGGGGGAAAUAGAUGACCUUAGCGAGAAAUAAAGAAGAAAAAAAAAUCCAACUCUGACAACCCACAUAUGAAAAUCUCCAUUAUCUAUAAUCCCAACAUCUCAAAUUCAAAAACUCCUAGAAACUAAAAUAAAUAUUUAAGUUAUUCCCUAAAUCUGAAUAUCAUAAGAAUACCAAACAUAAUCCUAUAUAAUAAUUAUAAAUACGAAGCUAACUAGUAGAAAUUAGUAUAUGAAUACUUUGUUCAUGUAUACAUCUGAGUAUGCCAUAAAAUAAAUCAAAGUGACAAAAUGAUGUUUGAUCCUUCAAGUAGUUUGUUGUGUCUGGUAUUACAGGAAAGCAACACAGACUGAUAAAGUUCCAUGUUUUAAUAAAGGAUUAUCAGAGUUUCUACAAAUGCAACUGACACAAGCCAUUCGACUACAUUUUGUUGCAAUUUUAGAGGUAACUCAAGAAACUGAACAAAUCAAAUUACUGACAAGCAAGAAGGAUGCAUAGAACGUUGCUGCAACCACCAUAUCCUUUAGUCAUUAACAAAUCAUUCUUAAUCAACCAUCUUUGUUUUUUGGCCUCCUCUUAAUCACCCGUCUUUAUAUUAAUUUAAUUCAUUCACCAAUCAAAAGAUAAAAAGUAAGACAGCUGUUGUUUCAGCUGCCUCAAACAUAAGGGCUAAGUCAUACACAGAAAUCGGCCCCAAUCCUACCAUGUAACCUAAAGACAUGUUCCUGCAGUUCUACAUUGUUAAUAUAACUAUGUUAAAAUUAAAGAUACCAAAAAAAAAUAUGAUUCAUUCACUGAUACUGCUUGCGCAUUGCAAGAAACAACUGAAGUAUGAUUAGCAGUUAGCACCGCUUGCUGCUAAAUUCAACUGGCACAAGAAACUUCAGCAUGGUUAUACAAUCCAACUUCAUAUCUAUUAAACAUUUUAAAGUUAACCAACCAGGCUGUCUUUCUGAAAACUAGAAAACAAAUUUUGCAGACUACCUGAUAUAUCUAAAUUUAUAAUACCGUGAAGUUUCUUACUUUAUUUCACAAAACUGGAAAGCAAAGUUUAAUUGGCAACUCUCCAUAGAUUGAUAGACCACUACUUAUCCCAAUCCCUGAAAUAGAUAUUUCACUACAGGUUACUACCUGGACUAGAUAUUGAAAAUGUUUAAUGCCAGCCAGAGUGGCUUGCUCAAAAAUAGAAAACAAACUUUAUUUGGAAACUCUUCAUAACUGAUAUAUCCCGAUUCUUGAACCAGAAAUGCCACUACUUAGACUCCUAGCAGCAAGGUAUUGAAGUUUCUAAUGCACAAUCACUUUGCUUAAAAAUGAUUAUUCAGUUUCCUAGAAAGUUCAUCAAUUGCUAACAUCCAGUCUUAUGAGAUCAGAAUUAGUUGAAGACAAAAUUCAAACAGAAAAGGCAAUUAUUAGUCUUAGCAUACACAUGAUGGCUUGCUUACAUGACCUUUAGCAAAUUACUCCAGGGUAAGUUAAAGCAACCAAAUCAAGUCCUGAGCCAAUUAUGUUAAUACAAAAAAAAAAUGAUGCCACAAUUUCAAAUACACAAGAAAAAUUAAUUAAAUGCCAAAUCCUCAAGAAAUCUGGAUAAAAAUAACUUCGAAGUUAAAAAGCAAAAUAUGUAAAUUAAUUGUAUGAGCUAUUGACAAAUGAUGCAAAAAGGGUUAAUCUAAAAAAUACAAUUUAUAUGAGGAGUUCCGUGCAUUACCUGCUACCAGGGUCCAUAUCAUCAUACUCCACAUCAAAUGGACAAGGAAACUCAGAGUCAUCAAAAUCAUCUUGUAUAGACCUACUGGAGCUUAUGAAAAAUGAAAUUCUGGGUGAGUUCACUCCAGAAUAUUUCUGACCGUCUCCUUUCCCGAAAGAGAACAGCUAUAAGAUACAAAACGAAAGUUAAUUCCAAGGAGAAAAGCAAGAUAGGGUUGGAAUCACAAAUCAUACCAAUGAGGCAUAUAUGAAAUACCUUCUCGAUAGUUGCCCCAGAUUUCAUGGGACCCAUAUUAUUAUCAGUCCAAGAAAUAUCAGCUCUUGAAAUUUUAAGGGGAGGAGAUGGUGGCAAAUUUUGCUUGCAGGACAAUGCAGGGGAAUCAGCAAGCUUACGGACAGGUAUGUUAACAGGAGCACUUUCAAAACGUAAAAGAUCUUUUGACAGAUGAACCCCAGGAAUGCGGAUGGACGGUGAUGGUGAGGGGGAAGAGGAUGGCAAUGGGGAAGGGGAAGCAGAAAAUUUUGGGGAAGGCCAAUACUCAUCAAAGUUUGUAUUCUUCUUAUGAGGUAGAGAUGCCACAGGAGGAUGAGGAGGUAAGCUCAUAGGUGGCGCAUGGCGAGAGCUUGGGUUAGAAACCAAAGCAUGUGAUUCUGAAUGUGUUGGUGAUAGAAACUCAACAAAUACUGAAUUAACUAAAAGAGAAAUAUCUGAAGGUAAUACUCUGUAUUUCUUAGCUACCUCAUCUAGUAUAUAGUCAUAGUUUAUAUACACAAUAGAAAGACUUAACUGUUGUUAACAACCCUUAACAAUAAAACUAAUUUUGUCAAUUGCCUAACCACCUUACUAAUUAUUGAAACUUGUGUAUUAUUUACAUACUGUAAUUUAAAUACUGUAACAUUCACCCAGCUUCCUCGAGUGGCACGAUCCGAAGAAGUUGACGAAAUCGAGUAAAGAGAGAAACAGACAAUGGUUUAGUAAGAAUAUCUACCACCUGAUCACAUGCUGGUACUUCACCAACAAUCAAGGCGCCACUAGCUAUGUUUUCACGAACAAAAAACAGAUCAAGUUCAACAUGUUUGAACUUGGAGUGCAGUACAGGAUUAGCCGUAAUAGCUACUGCACUAGAAUUAUCACACCAUAUUGUCGAAGAAUCAACAGAACAAAUUUUGAGUUCUGUCUACAAAGAUACAAGCCAGGCAAUAUCACUUGUGGCUGCAGCUAAAAUUCGGUAUUCAGCUUCUGCCGUAUACCGAGAAACAACUUGCUAUUUCUUAGAACACCAAGAUAUAGGUGUAUGACCAAAGUACACACAGUAUCUCGUUGUAGACCGACGAUCAUCAAAAUCAAAACCCUAGUUUGCAUCAGCAUACCCUACCAAUGAUAAUCGAUCAAAUCGGUGAAACACCAGACCAUGAGAGAGAGUGCCACAUAGAUACCGUAAAAUACGUUUCAAGCCACCAUAUGAAUUUUAGUGGGAGCAUGCAUGAACUGACACACCCGAUUAACAGCAUAAGCAAUAUCUGGUCGCGUUAUCUGGUCUCAUUAAAACAACAUACUGAAGUGCUCCAGCAAGACUACGAUACUCAGGUGGAUCAGCAAGACGUUCACCCUCAUCUUUAGACAACAUGGAUGAACUGACCAUUGGCGUAUGCACACUUUUAUCAUUAGUCAUAGAAUCUGAUCAAGAAGCUCUCGAAUGUUAUUUUUGUUGACAUAAAUGAAGACUGUCAGAGGGAGAUCGACUGACUUCAAUGCCCAAAAAAUAAUGAAGAUUACCCAUAUCCUUUAAAGCAAACUUAUUGUGUAACUGCUGAACAAAACAAUUAAUCUCGUCAGCUGAACUACCAGUAAUAACAAUGUCAUCCACAUAGACAAGAACGUAGAGAGUAAAUUCAGAGGAAACUUUGACAAACAACGAUGUAUCUAAUGUAGACAGAACAAAAUCAGUAGACACUAGAAACUGUUUUAAUUUGUCAAACUAGGCACGAGGAGCUUGCCGUAAGCGAUAUAAUGUUUUUGUCAGACGACACACCAGCUUUUCACCAUUUGGACCAUUUUGAACAUAGCCAAGAGGUUGCUGCAUAAAAACUUCAUCAAUCAAAUCUCCAUUUAAAAAGGCAUUAUUAAUAUCAACUUGCCGGAGAUGCCAUACACGUGACACAGUAACUGCCAGAAUGGUUCGAAUAGUGGUAGGUUUGACCACUGGAUUGAAGUUCUCUUUGAAGUCACCACCAGCACCUGUGAACAGCCCUUGGCGACCAAUCGUUCCUUCCGUCGUUCAAUUGUCUCAUCAGGAUCUUUCUUUACCUUAAAAAGCUAUUUUCACCCAAUCACCUUUCGGUAAGGAGGAAAAAGACUAAGUUCCAAUGUAGAGUUAGCAAUUAAUGCAUCAUAUUCAGCCUGAACAACAAGUCGCCAAUCUGGAUGAGCAAGAGCCUCCUCAACAAAUGCUGGCUCAAAAUCAACCGUAUUCACAGACAAGGCUUUAGGUUUAAAAACUCCAGCCUUAGAUCGAGUAACCAUAGCAUGAGUAUUAGUAGUAGAUGCAAUAGGAGCAGUAGCAACAGUAGGAGUAGUAGGAGGAUUAGUAGGAGAAGGAAGUGGCUCUCGUAUAUCAGUCAUCGAGUCAACUGAAGCAGGUUGUAAUGGACUAUAUGUAGAUGAAUCAAUGUGAGUCGAUUCACAAGUAUUAGCAGGCAAAGAUACAAGAUCAGAGAUCUGUCGAGGCUCUGCAAUGGAAAAGGACUGAACAACAGGAACAUAUGAAGAAGUACAUGCCGGUGACUGAUCACUAGUAGUAGCAGACACAAGAAACAAAAACUGAUUUUCAUCGAAAACAACAUGUCGAGAAACAAUUAUCUUGCCACUUGGUGUUAAACAGUAAUAACCCUUAUGUUGUGAGCUAUAUCCUAGAAAUGUAAAAGGUUGAGAUCGAAACUCAAGCUUAUGUUUAACAAACAAACGUAAGUACGGAAAACAACAACACCCAAAAAUCCAGAAGUGGUCAUAUGUCGGUACACUACCAAAUAAACUUUGAUACGGCGCAUUACUUUUCAACAUCAGAGUGGGUAGACAAUUAAUGAGAUAUAUUUCACUGCAAAAAGCAUAGCCCCAGUAAGCCAUAGGUAGAUUCUCUUGAGCCAAGAGAGUGAGACUGAUCUCCACAAUAUGUUUAUGUUUACGCUCAGCAACACCAUUUUGUUCAGAAGUGUGAGGGAAUGAAAUGCGAUAAAGAAACCCAUGACUAGCUAGAACUGAAGCAAAGGCACGAAACUCUCUGCCCCAAUCACUCUGGAAUUUCUUAAUACGCUUUCCAAACUGUGUAUGAACCAUCUGCUGAAACUGUAGAAAACAGUCCACUGCUUGAGACUUGCGUUUGAUCAAAUACACCCAGGUAAAUCGACUACACAUGUUAAUGAACGAGACAUAAUACAAAUUCCCUUCAUAGGUAAUAGACGCAGGUCCCCACAAAUCAGACACAACUAACUCAAACAAUUCAACAUAUUCAGUAUUAGAGUGAACAAAGGGCAAUUUAUGUGAUUUUUCUUUCUGACAAGCUAUACAAAUAUUAUCAAGAGAUCUUUUAUUGGUAACAAUCUGACAGUUGUCAAGAACAGUUUUUACAAUAACAGGAGAAGGAUGACCAAGCCUUUUAUGCCAUAAAGUGAAGAGAUCAUCUCUCGUAUAUCGGUCUUAUAUGUUAGUGUUGUGAGCAAAAUGAUAUGGAGCAGCUGAUGCAGCAGAAAAAUGAUAGAACCCAUCACGAACUUGGCCCCGCAUUAAGAUUUCCUGUGUCUGAAUGUCCUUAAUCAUAAAAUAAGACGAGUGAAAUUCAAAGAAUACAUUGUUGUCAGUAGCAAAUUUAGACAUAAACAGUAAAUUUUUUCGAAUGCUUGGUACACACAAGACAUUUGAUAGAUGUAGUAAUUUCUUUUUUGUAGGUAAAAUAGUACUCCCAAUGGAAGAAAUCUUAGAGAAGACCCCAUUACCCAUUAAGAGAGAAGAAUCACCUGUAUAUGGAGAGGAUGCAUGUAAAUCAGAAGCAUUCUGACACACAUGGUAAGUAGCCGCUGAAUCUGGGCACCAGGAUAUGCUAUGUACAUGCAACGGAACAUACGAAUCAGUACUAUUAAAAUUGGAGUCAUAUGCCGUGGCAUCAGAAAAAUUAGAAGCAUGGAAAUCAAGAAGCCUGGGUAUUCCAAUAAACUGAGACGAGUCAACAUCAAAUACACGGGCUCGCAGUUUUGUCUGCCAUGAAAUUUCAGAAAAAUUAACACAAUUUGCAUCUGGGCCUGAAAAAUUUUGCUCAUCACUAAGACGAGGCCUAACGGAUCCAGUAGGCCCAAAACUCAGAUUAGCACUUAUUAGCCCCCUACAUCCUAGCACCAUACGAAUAACCCGCGCCAUCGUCACCCGAAUGCUGGCCCAUGGAGUGAUUAAAAUAACGCCCAACACUGUUGCUAACCACAUGCAACCCAGGAGUAGUUGACCGAGCAUUAGGUGACACAAAUGGAUUUGGCUCAGUUGGCAGAUUUGAUGUAUGUGGCCCACAUGUAGGAACAACCCCCACAUUCGGCCUAAUAUACUAAGGCAGAGAAAUUUCUUUGGAAUGCACCCUCCAAUUUUGACCAGUGGACAUCCAAUUUUGACCACGCCCCCAGUCGUCCCUAAUUGCGCCAGGCUAUGCGUCCUUAGGCGACACAGAAACAUGCUCUCCUUGAUGUGCCGUCGGAGAAACAAACGGUUGUUGUUCGUCAUGGUGGUACCUGUAGUAACAGCGUUGAGCAAGAUGACUAUACCUACCACAUAUCUGACACUGGAUCCAAUUGAGAAAGCCUUGUCCACGACCACGAAUAGGGGGUCGACCAGUACGAGAAGCCACAUCCACCAUUGGCGACGGAGAACCGUCCACAAAAUUCGUAGCAACCAACACGUCUGAAACAGAACACAUUUGACGAUCUUCGCAUUCAAGAAGCGCAUCAACUAGGCGUUGGAACGGCAACAGAGCGGAAGAGAGAGAGGCAGAAGACACAAAGGCAUCAAACUCAGUCGACAAGCCGGUAAGCAAAACCGCAGUGGACAAGCAGGUAAACAAAACCGCCGUCCUCUCGACCUCUAAGAUCUGAGUAUCAUAGGCUACAAGAAGAGCACAAAGGCCUUUGAUUUUAUCAACAUAAGCACGGAUGGAGGGACUACAUGUAACACCCUGAAAAUUUCUAUAGUAAGAUAUUAUCCUUAAUAUAGUAAAAUAAGAAAAUAAAGUGACAAGAAGAGGAAAAAUUGAGUUGUGUCACUGGGAAGUAUAUUAUGACAUAUUGAUUCAAGAAAGGACUAAAUUGUAAAAGUGAGAAGUAAAUACUUAAAAUUUGAGGGAUAAAGUGUAAAUAUGAAAAGUUGAAGGACUAAUAGUGCAAAUAUUUUAAGGGUGGAAUGAUUUAGAAACCAAGGAAAAUUGAUGAAUUAGGACCAAAUUAAAUAGGUGAAGAAUUAUGAAAGACUAAAUUGUAAUUUUACCAAAUUAAGUGAUGACUCAAGAAUGAAAUUUUAAAAGAUCACAAAGGGCAAAAUGGUCAAUUGUAAGAGAGAGAAAUCUAGAGACAAUGAUGAUGUUAGAGAUAUUUUAGAUAAAAUAAAUAAAUAAAUAUUAGUACUUUAAAUUGAUUUUUAAAUGAUAUUUUUUUAUUUUUUUAUUUUUUAUUUAAUAUAUAUAUAUGUAAGGAAAGAAAGAGGAGGGGGAUCACCUUCUCAUGCAACUAACGUGAGAAGAAGAAGAAGAAAGAAAGUUUUCCUUUUCUUACAAUUUGGUCCUUCCACCAAAAAUUUACCAUUUUCACCUACAAAUCAAAAGAAUUUCCAUAGCCAUCAAGAGAGAAAGAUGACAAGAAGACCAUGGGGAGUUAGAAUAUCAAGUUAGAUUCAAGAAAUAGAAGCUGGAGGACAGAGAAAAUCAAGUUAAAGAUUGAAAUCAAUGGAACAAGGUAAGAACAUUAAGAUUUUAAUAUAUUUUUAAGAUUAAUAUUAUUGAAAAAGCAUGGAAUUGAUAUUAAUGUAGAGUUUUCUUAUAUAUGAUCUUAUGUUCUUGAUAUGUUAGUGAAGAGAAAAUAAGAGAAAGUAAUGAGAAAUAGUGUAGAGAAAGAAAUUAAUGGUGUUAUAAACAUGGAAAAUAAACAUCUUGCACUAAAACAGUUUUGGACAACAGCAGUAGGCUAACUUUGAAAAAUCACCAUAAAUUGUGAAAAUUUAAUUAGAGUAUGAAAAAAAUAUGGAAUUAAAUAUUAUUGAGUCUAGUUUCUUAUAGAAGAAACAUUCUAGGCAAUGGAUUUGUGAAUCAUGAGAUAUAAUAAAUUUUGUGAGAUAAGGUCAGAAUGAUUUCGGGUUCCCUUAUUCUGACUUUGGAAAAUCAUAAAAAAUUGGAGAAAAAUAAUUAUGUUCUUAAAGUUAUAUUUUUAAAAUCCUGAAUGAGUCUAUUUUCAAUAUAAACAAACGAUAACAUCAUCCAAAUCUUGUACAAUGAGAUACUUUAUUUUUAGUAAAAAAUGGUCAGAACUGUUAGACAGCAAAAUAAUGGUGACUUCAAAGAAUAAACUGUACUUAUUGGUUGAACCAAAAAUUCUGAAAAUUUUAUGGUAAGAAGACAUGUAAGUAUAGUUUCAUAGAAAAUUAGAAGAUCUUAAUUUCUAGUUCUGUAGCUCAAGAUAUAAAUAAUUUAGUGAUUAUGACGCAAAUGGACAGUUUUGAAUAUACAUAUAAGUAAAUAGUGAAAUUAUUGAUAAUGUUACUUGUAGCAUGUUAUAUAAAUUAAGGAUGUGGAAUGGAGAGGAGGAGGAGGAAAAUAUGUAUGAAUAUUCAGUUAGCAUGGCUAAUUUGUAUCUUUUAGGCUUAGGGACUAAAUUGAAUAAAAGUAAAAUUUUUAUAGAUAAUUUUGUAAAAAUGUUAGAAAUGACCAAUUUGCAUGAAAUGGAUUAUUUUAUUAUUUAAAAUUACAAAAUUGAAUGAAAUUAUUAAUUUAGCUCAAGAUCGGCGAAAAACAUAUUUUAAGGAUUAAAUUGAAAAGUGUUGAAAUUAUGGAAAAUUCUGAUAUUUUAUAGAAUUCAUGGGUUGUUAUCAAUUUGUAUGAGAAUAACUGAUGGAAAUAAGGAUUAAAUUGCAAUAAUUUUAUUUUUUUAGCCUAAAGAUGAAAUCGUCAUUAAUUAAAAGUUUAGGGGUAAAAUGGUAAUUUUAUUUAGAGCAUUAAUUGAAUGUAUUAGAACAUGAAAUAAAUGAAAACGACGAUCAAAUUUAUUUAUAAAGAUCCGGAUGACUCGAAUACGAGACUUGAACGUGGAAAAGAAAAGAUAUCGGAUUAAUGAAAUUAUAAACAUGAACAGGCAACGAGGUAAGUUAGUGUAACUUGAGUUAGUGUAACUUGAAUUGUAUUUUUAAAUGCAUGAAAUAUCGAUAUAAUAAAUCACCUGAUUUAUGUUUAUGGAGAAAUGACAAGAGAAUGAUUUUUAUCAUGACAUGUAAAUAUGUGAUUAUCUUUGAUAUGUUGAUACAAUGAAAUUAAGUAAAUUGAGAUGAGUAAUAAAUUUAAGUAAAACAUAUCGAGAAAAAUAAGUACGUUAAGGGACAAUAUGUUUAAUUUUAAUUAGUUCCAAAUAUGAACGAUAGAUGAAAUGAAAUAUCUAAUAAAUAAUUCGGUAACUCCGGUAAUGCUCCGUAACUCUAUUCCGGUGACGGAUUCAGGUUAGGGGCAUUACACUACCUUUCUUGAGGGAAUGGAGUUUGUGGCGAAGUUAAGAUUGCUUCGCGCUAGUGUCGGUCGCAAACAAACUGCUCGCCAUCAUCCACAUAUCACACGCUGAUCGAACAUUUGUGAAGGAGGUCAAAAAUGACGAAGUGAUCGUAGACAACAGCCACGGGGUGAGAAGAUUAUCUUGCUGAGUGAAGAUCGAGGCAAACGGAUUUGCAACAAGGGUGCCAUUAGAUGCACGAACAUACCCGCUAGCGCAGAAAACGUCCCAUCAAAAAAACCGAUCAAAUCAUAACCAGUAAGAAUAAAUCGUACCUACUGUUGCCAUUGAAUAAAAAUGCCCUCAUCAAGCUUUACAACAUCAUGCCGAGGAAAGGAGGUGACGAUCCGACCACCAGUGAACACAGAGCCACUCGGCUCAACAGAAUCAGAAUCAGGAGAGUGCGUGAUAGCCAUGCCCAAGGAUCACCGAGCGACUGAUACCAUGAUAGAAACUCAACCAAUACUGAAUUAACUAAAAGAGAAAUAUCUGAAGGUAAUACUCUGUAUUUCUUAGCUACCUCAUCCAGUACAUAGUCAUAGUUUAUAUACAUAGUAGAGAGACCUAACUGCUGUUAACAACCCUUAACAAUAAAACUAAUUUUGUCAACUGCCUAACCAGCUUACUAAUUAUUGAAACAUGUGUAUUAUUUACAUAUUGUAACAGUUGGGGAUGGUGAGAAAGAAAUUGAAGGUAGUGAAGCUUUGUAACAAUCAAAACUCCAACUAUGUCUUCUUGAGAUUGGUAAAGAUGAUGGAGAGCCCUGUGACACAGGAAGAGAAGGAAAUCUUCUCAGUGGGUCUGUCAAUGGGCUUUCAACAUAAUCUGGUGUAAAUUGAGGGGACAUAGAGGUUGAUGACUUGGAGCUUAUAUCUGAGAUUGAUGAACGGUACAUAACUGAAAGGCAAAGCCUUCCACAAGAAGUAUCGACAGGGGUGAACCAAAAUCGUUACAUUUCAGCCUCGUCUUUCUGAGUGAAAGAUUCAACAGAAGAGGAUACCCUAGGAACAAGCUUAAAAGCACGAAUUUGACUAGAUGAAUUGAGAUCACGAAAUAUCUUGCACACAGGUAAAAGCCUAACGGUCACAUAUAAAGACCUCAACAUCAAUAUCAAUUUCUUAAAUAAUGCACUCAAAUUAUUACAACUUGACCUUCUACUCCCUGAACUGCAAUCCCUACCCUUUCAACUUUCAUGCUGCACGAACCAACUUUCUAUAACCUUCUCACCUUUUGCCUUACAGCCUGAUUCCUUUUUAUCAGAAUUCCAGAAAAAUGAAUUCUAAUCUUUUGAUGAAGAAUGCUUAACAAGAUCACUUUUGGGGGAAAAGGUCACAGGAUCCUAAUCAAGUGGCUUCUGCUCCAAGAUAACAUCAAUCAUUACCGACUCAAAAUUACUUUGGCGACAAAGAUCAAAAUUUUCUAGUGCUGAAGGGCACUCCCUAAGAGCUAAAUUGAACCAUUUAUCUCUUGGUCUCACACCUGAGGAAGAUGAUAAGGACGAAGAUGAAGAUUGUCGAAACCAUUUUUAAAUCGAGUUUUGGAAAAUGGGAAUCGACUUUAAGAAAAACGAAAACGGAAGUCGCCACCAAUCUUUUUAGGUGUGAUUGGAUCACCUUAUAAAAUAUUUUGUUUUAAAACAUUAAUUUUGGUCUACGAAAGUCGAGAAAACGGAUUCGGGAGUCGAUUACGUACGAGGAAGGGUUAGCACCCUCGUAAUGCCCAAAAAUUGGUACCUAAUUGAUUAUCAAGUGUCUUUAAUGUCGGAAAUUUGAAAGUUUUAAGAUGCAAACAUCUUUUAAUUAGAAUGACUCAAUUUUGAAAAUUAAGGCUCACUUAUUUCAAACGAGUCAAAACAUCACAUUCAGUAAGUUAGGACGCAACAUUUUAAAACCUUCGAAACUAAGCUCGUCUUUCAAAAAUUUCUAUCUCGAAACAACAAAACGCCAUAUCCAAUAAGUUAGGACACUAUGUUUUGAAAUCUCGAAAUAAUUGUUUAAGUUUUGAAAACUCAAAAUCACUUAGAAGGGUGCUUGAAUAUUCGAAUUCAACGAGAAAAGUCGCAACCCAAUAAGUUAGGGCACUACCUUUCUCGAAGUUUCCAAAUAUCAAGCAUUGCCUUUUACUUUUUUUAAAAAAAAAACUUGGAAUAUUAUUUUAAAUGACGUUUUAGGAUGACAUAUUAAUGCAUCAUGAAGCAUAGAUGUACAAAAUAUUCUAACAUUUCCAUACAAACAUAAAUAAUAUCAUUAAGACAAAACUAAAUAACAUGAACAUACGUUUAAUGAAAAAAAUCAUACUAGGGUAAAUAUAAGAUAAUAAAUAAAUAAAAACAUGAGUAAACUAAAAGAAAAACAUAAUACAUGCAAAAAUUAUACAACAAUAUAUAUCAUAAAAUAGCACAUAAAAUAAAUAAUUAAACAUAGCAUAUAAAAAAAAUGAAACUAUGCACAAAUAAGAUAAAUGACAUACACUAAAAAAAUGAAUAAAUAGAACAUUUACAAAUUAUAAAAAUAUAAUGCAAUAGUUCAAAAUACAUGAAAUGAUAAUAUAAUAUAUAUACAUGCAUAGAAAAUAUAUAUUUGAAAAUAAACUAUAUAAAAAGGUUAAAUAUUAUAAUAUAUAAAAUACAUAAUCAAAUAUAUAAAAGAUAGGAAUAAAUAUACAUAUUUGAAAAAUAAAGAAAUUAAAAUUAAAAAAGGUUGAAAAACUAAGAUAGACGAAGAAUAAAAUAAGAACAAACCACAGAGAGUAAGAACGUAAGAGGGAGAGAAAUUUGAGUGAAUGCUCUCAAGAAUUCUUAUUGCUUCCCAAAACUCAAGUGAUUUACAAUGAAGGGAGAGGCAUCUAUUUAUAGUUGAGCCUCCCCAAAUCCAACGGUACAGAUCAAUUACAUCAACGGUUAAGAUUAAAGGAUACCUACAAAUUAAAUCUUCAAGAUUACAAGAUCAUAUCUUCAAGAUUGCAUAUCAUAUCUAAGAUUGUAUCAUAUCUAAGAUUGCAUAUCCUUAAAGAUUAUAUUUCCAUAUGAGUCAAGCUUAUAGAUGAACUUUAAAUCUUUUCAAAUAAUGGGCCAUUCCGAUUGGGCCAAAUUAUAUGUUUGUAAUUUUGUACUAGACUUAGACUUUGUUUUAUUUUUAUUUUUUGGGAGUUUAUUAUUUUAAAUACUGAAAUGGGCCGAGCAAAAAUGGGCUAUUACAAAGAUAACAUAAUUUGUUCACCACUAUAAUUUCGCGAUGACACAUAAGGAGACCUCGAUUCAAGUAUAAUUAGAAGACUCUUACAGAAGAAUUCAGUGAUGAUUUGCUCCAAUUUUGCGGCUUCAGUGUGAGUAUUGCUAUGAGAUGAUGCCAUAUUAUAAAAAGAAAAAAGAAAAAAGAAAAAAGAAGAGGCUAAAAGUGGAACAAUCAAACCAUUUUAAGGGAAACUGAAAAUUCGAACUUGAAACACCUGUGCAGAUAGUUUCACUGCAAGUAGAAAAGCCAUAAGUAACAAUCAGAAGGUCAUUCAUAAGGGGAAGAAAAAACCCAGUAAGAAACAACUCAAAAAGAACUAAAUUAACCAACGAAUAGCAAUUCAAGUAGCGAAAAACAGUAUCUAAAAGAAGCAACUAUACAAAUAUUAUAUUAAAUAUAAACUAUCUAAAUUACAGGGGAAACCCAUUAAAUAAAACAGUCCAGACUCUUGCUUCUCCAUAACGACCUAGGCCCGGUUGUGUAAGAAACACGUUUGGGCGCAUACGCAUAGGUCUUUUUCAUUUCUUUUUCUUAUUUUUGCCUUUUGGGUUUUUCUUCUCUUCAUCCAUCUUACUUUUUCCCAUGCAAACAUUGAAUAACAGACGAAGGAGGCAACAGACGAAGGAGGAACCGAGCGGAUUGAAGAUGGGAACUUGGAGUCAUUUUCAGAGGGCUGCCAUGAUUCAGCUUUCUGGGUUUUGGCUUUUCCCUUCUUUGCUGGAGCCAUUUAACUUUUCCUUCAAUUCGAGAAUAAAGCCAUAGAUCAUACGCACCAAGGGAAGCAAUGCAGAAGAACGGGUCUCCUCCAACCAAACGGGUGGGUUUGGCGGAUUCGGAUCGAAUUAUCUUUGGAUUUAUAUUAUUUUGGGCUGGGUGCACACCUGUUGAUGGGCUGAGUUUUUUUGUAUGAAUUAUUUUGGAUAUUAAUUGAUUUGGGUCAAAUAGUUAAAUAAUUUUGAAUUUUGUAAUAAUUAAUUUUUUUUAAUUUCUCGAUGUAUCUAUCGGAUCGAAUUUAGUAAUUAAUUUUCGGUAUUCUGUAGGUUCAUUAAGAGAGUAAAGACUGGUCAUGAGUUUUGAAGUUGCUCCAUACCCAAAAGGGUAUAAUAGUUUAAUGUUUCUAUUGAGUAUUAGCUUAUUAUAUUAGUAAUUUAUCAAUUUUUAUUUUAUUUUAAUUAUAACGAUUAAUUCUAUUUUAAAUAAUAAAAAAUAAAUUUAAAAAUUUAAAAAUUAACAUAUAUUUAAUUAAUAUAAAAUUAUAUAAUAAUUUAAAUUUUCCUAUUGAGUAUUAAUAUAUUAUAUUUAUAAUAAGGCCAAACCUUGAGUAGAAUUAUUUUGUUGUUCUAUAUAUAAAGGCCCAGACUAGAGCCUACCAACUCAAAAGUUUUUUAUGUGGCAAAAUGACCCAUUAGUCCAAUAGGUCACUAUCCAAUUAUCUUAUGGUAGUCCAUUAGGCCGGGUUAGGGUCGUAAACCCGCCCUUAUAUGUGGCCAUUAGUAUGGAGCUACUGUAUAAACUCAUGUACUGUAGGCAAGUGAUAGUUUUACACAUAUUACAUAAACUCAUCAACUGGCUACUGCAAUACUGCUUCUUACAAUUGGAUAAUCUGUUCCUGUAAGUAAAUUCUUCAUACUUUGUGUUUAAUGAUCAUACUUAAAUCACCAUUUCAUUAAUAUAUGAUUUGAGUAAUAAUAAUGCAACUGAAUUUUCAUACUAACAAACCAGUACAUAAGCCAAGCCUAUCAUAGGAGGACACUACAGGAAGUAUUUUACAUAUUUUAUUGACAACUUACACAUAUACUUUGAGUGAAAUGAUUGAUUGUUGGAUCAUCACUUGAACUAGAUGAAGGAAGCAGUUGGACAUGGAGGAACACAUAUAUCAGUGAUCCCUUCCAGCAUCAUUACUACAGUCUUGAUGGAAGGACGAAGAGCUGGUUCAUCUUGAAUACACCAAAGUGCCACCAUCACCAUUCUUUCCAAGCUUCUUUUAUCCACUUCUUCACCAAGCAUUAGCUUAUCCAACUCCUUUUCAACCAAACAUCUAUACACCAUACUUGAUAGAAUGACCUCCUCUGGUUUUGAUACAUUGGUGUCCAAGUUCCGUCGGCAAAACUCAGUCUCCAACAGCACAAUUCCGUAACUGUAAAUGUCAGCCUUCACUGAUAUUGGAGUAUUUUUCUGCCACUCUGGUGCCAUGUAUCCUCUAGUUCCCCUUACGCCUGUGAAGGUCCUUGUUUCAUCUCCCAUCAACAGUUUUGCCAGCCCAAAGUCUGAAAUUUUAGCUCUCCAUAAAUCAUCCAUCAAUAUGUUUUGCGGCUUUAUAUCACAGUGAAUGAUUGGAGUCUCACACUCAUCAUGCAAAUAGAGGAUUCCUCUAGCAACAUCCAGGGCUAUUCUUGUUCUUUCAUCCCAAUCUGGGGGCUUUGUUGACUUGAAAAGAAGAUAUGCAAGGGAGCCAUUGCCCAUGAACUCAUUCACCAAUAGCGUCUUGGAAUCCUCAACACAAUAUCCCAAAAGUCGAACUAAAUUCUUGUGGUGAGCUCUACCAAUUGCUCGCAUUUCCGUUUGGAACUCUUUUUCACCUUCUUCCACUAACUUCUCUAGUCUCUUCACUGCAAUCAACUGUCUUCCUCUGUCUAAAGACUCUUUGUAGACUGCUCCAAAGGAUCCUUUACCCAACUCUUCUUUAAACCCAUUUGUUGCUCUCUUUAGUUCUUUGUAUGAAAACAAUGUCAACGUAAGCUCUUCCGUUAGGCCCAAAUUUCCAAGUUCCAACAGCCUUUUGUAUCUUAGAACUCGAAAUUUAUAAAUGUAUACACCAGAGAUUGCAAGCAAAGCACAUGAGCAUGCAACAAGACUGAAAGUUAGAAGAAGAAUUAGAACCGUCGUAUUUUUCCGUUUGAUUAGGACUUUGGGUGCCUUUAAUUCAGAGGGAACAGUGCCGUUGUCUGCUUCAAGGCUUAUGAUUCCCACCUUCAAUAAAACUGUAGAAUUCACUUGGGCAUCAGUCUCUCGUAUCAAAUACCUGAGUGGAAGCUUUUGUUUCCUGCAAAUCCCAUUCUCGAACUGUGCUGCCUCACAAUUGCAGUCUUCCAAACAUGUUCGGCUGCACGCAUCCUUGGACAAUAGCUCUUUACUGUAAAAUCUGCCCGUCGUCCAUAAAAUACCUUGCAUUGAAGUGAUGUUAUAAAAGGGUAUGUUGGCCUUCCCUCCUUUAUAGUGUGCUUCAGAAUAAUUUCUCUUGCAGCCGAGGUUGUUCUGAAGAGGAUCAAUAAAAUCAGUCCCGGGAAGGCAUGCACAGUAAGGUUGGUUAUCAUUAAAUGUGCAGUAGCUGUUGAAACCACAAAAGCCUUUAACUCAAUGUCAGUCGAAUAGAGAAUAUUUUUAUUUAACAACUGAAAUUUUAUUUUUUUAGAAUUAAACUCUUUUAUCAUACAUAAUUACAUGACAUUAAAGAAAAGAAAAAUAAGCACAUCAUCAUGCAUUACAUGGAAAGCAAAAUUAAAGUAAAUACUAAAUCAAAGUUAUAACAGAAGUGAUGGAGAUGGAGGGACUGGUAUAGUCAUUGUUCCUUCCAGCAUCAAGAUCACAUUUUUCAUCAGUGGACGCAAAUUGGGAUCAUCUUGAAUGCACCAAAGCCCCACCUUCACAAAUCUUUCCACCAUUUUCAUGUCCACUUCUUCUUCACCUUCCACAAGCUUAUUCAAUUCUCCCCCAAUAAAGCAAUUGUAUACCCAUGUAGAAAGUAGUAUCUCAUCUGCACUACAAACUUGUACUUCUAUGUUGCUUCUGCAACAUAUGAUCUCCAAUAGUAUCACUCCGAAACUGUAUACAUCAACUUUUACCGACACCAAUCCACUGCUUUGCCACUCAGGUGCCGAGUACCAUGCCGCCCCUUUGGUCCCAGGAGUACUGCAUGUUUGAUUAGGCCUCAAAAGCUUUGCCAAUCCAAAGUCUGAAAUCUUUGCAGUCAAUGAAUCAUCCAAGAGUAUGUUAUGGGGCUUGAGGUUGCAAUGGAUGAUACACCCCUCACACUCUUCAUGUAAAUAAAGGAUACCUUUAGCUACGUCCAGUGCAAUUCGGGCUCUCUCUUUCCACACUGGGCGUUUAUUCAUGUUGAAUAGAAAGUUUGCCAGUGAGCCAUUGCCCAAGUAUUCAUAAACGAGGAGCUUCCUUGAACCUUCCACACAAAAACCAAGCAAUCGGACCAAAUUCCUGUGAUUAGUUCUUCCAAUGACUGUCAUCUCGGUUCGAAUCUGAUUUGUUUCUCCUGCGUUAACUUCCUUCAGUCUUUUAACGGCAAUCGUUUUACUUUUACCAUCCCCUGGCAAAAUUCCUUUAUAAACUGUUCCAAAUGAACCUUUACCUAACUCAUCUUGAAAACCAUGUGUUGCUUCAUCUAGCUCAUCGAAAGUGAAUGAUCGUAGCGUAAACUGCUCGGUUAAUACUGAACUUUUAUUUUCUAAAAGCUUCUCAUAAUUUUGGACUCGGUGCCUGUAUAACAAGAAGCUACAUAUUGCAAUCACAAAACACAAGCUUGUAACGGAACCCAAACUUAAGCCCAUAGUUAAAAUGAGGCUUUGGUUUCCUUCGCUUAUCAAUAUUCGACUUGUUUCAGGUGGGGGGCUAAUGGUGCUACCCAGGAUAAACUUGAUGAAGGCUGUGGUUGUUAUAUUUCCAUGUCUUUUACCAUAUUUGAGCGGUAGCCUAUACAUCCUGCAGCUUUUUGGGUCAGAAUAGAGAACUCCGCCACAGGAGCAAUCCUCCUGGCAAGCUUUCUUACAGUCUUCCUUCUCCAAGUUAGGCUUCACAGAAUAAGGAUCACCAGCCCAAGACAUAUUGUCUAAGGUAGUGAUGUUGUAGUGUAUCACUAGAUCUUUCCUUGCCACGCACCCAUCUAUAGUGAAAUUCUGAGAGCAGCCCAGGGAUUUGGUAUUCUCGUCGAUAAAUGUGAAACCAGGGUAGCAAUAGCACUCGGUAUCCUUACCCCUGCUGGAGCAGUAGCUGUUCAACCCACAUUGACCUUUAGCAUCACAUUCAUCAUUCAGAAUCUGCCACUUGUGUGAGAUAGUAUUGCUUUCGAGUUGGUGCGAGUACAAUCUGAAAUUUCCGUCAGGAUCAAGGGUUGCUCUGUAAAUAAUCAUUGUUUCGUUCCCAGUUGCGGAGAGGUUUGCCAAAACGUUUUCUUGGUGGAAUUUUGGUGAUGAAUACAUUGAUAGAACGCCUCUCUCAUUGAGAUUCAACACAGAAAAAUACCAACCAUUAGUCAUAGUGGCCCAGUAUGCAUCACUAGGAUCAAGUUCAGCAGGAUUAUUUGCAUAGGCUACAAGGUUACCGUCAUCCUGCAUUCUCAACAAAUAUGGCCCAGAUGAAUGGUUUGACAUUGACACACUGGAAAUCAACUGGUUAUGAGAACCGCUUAAAUUCUGGCCUCCUAAUAUUGUGUCCGUUGGAAAAUUAAAGCUCUCCCAAACAACAGUCCUGUUCUGGUAGAGCAUGAAAUUCCCGGUGUCCAACAUAGAAGCUGCAUCAACAGAUACUGACCUGGUCAGAUUUGCAAUGAUUUUUUCCAUGCCGUCCUCAGUCCGAAGAAGCAACCUGCCUUGUGUUGUGAAUUCCAAAGUAGCAUUUGAGGAGACAGGCGGAUCAUCUCGAUUUGCAGUCCAGACAGUGGUGUUUUCUGACCGGCCAACAAGCCAGAUUCCAACCGCAUAUCCGUUGCCUUGCGGAUAGAAACCAAAUCGGAAAUACCCUGAAGAUGAGGGCCAUGAACUAGGGUGUUUUCCGGCAUAAAGUGAAGAAGCUGGUUGGAUGAUGUUCGACUCGUUUUCUUGAGCUAUAAUAAUAACAUGUAAAGAAAGGAGGAGUAGAAGGAGAAUAUCUGACUGUAGUAAAUGAGCCAUAGUUACGUUUGGUGAUGUAAGGAGACGAAUAAACGACUUAAAGAGAAAAUUGGAAAGCUAAGCUCAAAUAGUCACAGAACAUUUGGAUUCGUCCAGCAACAGUGUUCCAAUUUGCUCUUUAACUCGUUUACUCGUCUCCUUACAUCACCAAACCUAACUAUGACUCAUCUACUACAGUCAGAGAUUCUCUUUCUAUUCAUUCUCCAUUCUUUACAUCACCAAACCUAACUAUGGCUGUUAUGCGGCAGUUAACCUGACAGAUUUCACCCAUUUGACUAUGGUGAAUGCACAAUACGAUACAAUACGUUUAGUUACUUUUUAUUUCAUAUUAUUGUAUUUAAUCUUAUCAUAUUGUCAUUAUUAUUUUUACACCAAUAUAAUCUAAACUCACUUUACAAUUUUGACAUGACUUGACUGAGUUGACAUUUUAUUUUUUUAUACUAGAAAUAGUCUUUGGGAACAGGUGAAUUUGUAAUAAAUAGAAAAAACAACCGUUUCUUAUAAAGAAAUUAAACCCUUUCUUAGAGAAUGUAUCAAUCAAGUUUUUUAACUAACAAUUUUUAAAAUAAUAUAUUUCUUAAAUAAAGUCUUUAGUUUUGUUGAAAUUAAUAUAUUUUUGGCUGACAAUUGCACAUAGUAAAAGAGAAAAAAGAGACCGUCAUUCUAUGUUUGACGGUGACAAAAUAAUUAUAACACUAGUUUUAUGAUAACAAAUGAAAAUUUAGACAAGUCUAAAGCAACAAAAGAAGAAAAGAUAAUCAACCUCCCCAAGGGAAAAAAAAUAGAUAAAUGGUCCAAGAAGUUGAAAUUUUCUCUAAAAAAAAUCAAAUAUCUUCAUUAGGUGUUUUGACUAAUUAUUAUCAUAUUAACAUAGUCGUUAAUAUCCACCGAAUCAACCAUCAUGAUAUUAACAUAGUAGUUUAAUUUAACAAAAAAUAAAAAUUAUUAAAAAAUUCAAAUUGAAAAUGAAUAUAGAUAAAUAGACACCUAAAUUUAUUUAAAUCUGGACUUUUUUUUAUCCAUGUUUCAUUAUAAUUUAUAGGCAUAAUUCUUUUAAAAUAAAAAAAAAUAAAAGAAAUUAUUAGAACACGGUAAAAAUUAUUUUAAAAAAUGGAAAUGGUGAUUCUUGAUUUUUUUUUCUAUCUCACAAUAGAUAAAUAUAAAUUUUUAUACUUCUUGCUAUAGAAUUUUUUUUUAUCUAAUUUACUAAUUAUAGUACUGGUAUUUGAUAUACUUUUAGGGACAUUUUUUCAACCAAUUAUUAACUCGAUGUAAAGAUGCAAUGUUGAGAACCUCAUGUAUUGGCUUGAUAGUCAGAGUAUUUAUCGCCUCAAGUAUGGCCUGUAUUUGAGUCGUGUUAAUCGCAUUGCUAUUAGAACUUUACUCUCCUCUUGUAAAAAAUAAAAAUACAAUGCUGAAAAACACUAACUAAACUAACAACUUAAAAGCAUAAUGAUUAGCUACCCUAUCAUUCCCAUAUCUUCCUAAAAUAUCCCUAAGCUCUAUACAAUUUCCUUUGGAUGACUCUAAACUAUGUGUCAUAUUGUACUAUUUUGCCCAUUUUAUUGAAAUCUUAAUAAUAUCCGUAAAAUUUCAAGAUAUGCCUUGAAGACAAACAAGUUACUAUUCUUCCAAGAUCAUUAUUUUAACCUACAGUUAAACUUAUGUACGGCGACUUGACCAAGAUUUUGCAUACAAAGUGAAAGUCCAAAUGAGGUAGGUUUCUUUCUAUAUCACCUCAUAAAUUAAAAAUAAUAAAAAUUAUUAAAAAAUUAUAAUUUUUAAUAUUUUAAAAAAUAAUUAAACGUUAAUAUGUUAUUCAUAUGGUAAUCCACAUAUAGGCAAUGUCAACAAUGUUAAAUAAAUGUUAACAUUUCCAUUCAUUUUAGGGUGACUUCACAAAAAAAAAACCGCAAGUUCAAGUGUUAAAAAAGACGAAAAAUAAAUGAAGAGCUAAAAUGAUUUCUUUUGUAAAGUUAGAAGGCCAAAAAAAUUAUUAUCCUUAAAUUUAAUUCUCAAUGUUUAUAUAUUUUAUCAAUUUGACUCUUAUUUUUUAGCUAAAUUUGGUCAUUAAUAUUUCAAAAAGAGUUAACUCACUUUUUUUAACGAAAAUAUUGACUAAAACAUUAACUUUUUGUAACAAUAUUGGUAUGGCAACCUGCAUGACAAUUCAUGUGUACUACAUGCUAACAUAACAAUAUUUAUCUUAUAUGUUACAUCAACAAAUAAUUUAAAUUUUAUAAAAUAUUAAACAAAUUAAAAUUAAAGAAUAUAAAAAGUCUAUAAUUUUUUAAAAAAUAGUAUAAAGUACAUGUGAAUUGCCAUACAAUCUACAAUGUUUAAAAAUUUAAUGUUUUAAUCAGUUUUUUCAUUAAAAAAACAAUUCAACUCUUUUUGAAAGAUUGAUGGUCAAAUUCUACUCUUUUUAAAAGGUUGAAGGUCAAAUUUAGUUCAAAAAUAAAAUAAGGGUCAAAUUGACAAAAAGAAUUAUAAAAUAUAGAUGUUAAGGGCUAAGUUUUUUAAGUUCAAUACCAAUGAAGUUUGGGUAAUUGGGUUAAUAAAUACUUUAAGGUCAUGCAUUUAAUAUUGCUUUAAAAUAUCAUUUGGUACCUAAGUUUGACUUUAAUAUUUAAUUUGAUACUUGAGUUAUUUUUUUUCAAUUUGAUACUAGAAUUUGGCUUCAAUGUCCAAUUUGGUACCUAAGCCAAAUAUCAUGUGGCCCAACAAAUAUUUGGCAUGUGUGCUCUAGUAAAAAAAACAAGUACUUAAUUGGGACAUAAAAAGCUCAAAUAUUAAAUUGAAAAUUGAAGCCAAAUUAAGGUACUUAACCAGGACAAAAAAAUGUAACAUCUCGUACUCGGCCAAAUUGUCGGACCCAAGUAACAGGAAGCUACAUCAAACAUCAAAGCUUCACACAUAUACCAAGACUGUCUUUGAUGUCGCGAUACAGACAUUGGAUGUCGCGACACACCCCUGAGGCUGAACCAGGAAUCGAGCAUACUAUCUUCGAUAUAGCGACACAAGCACUAGGUGGUGCAACCCCGACUAAAUCAUGCAGGUAUCAAUACAUAUGUCCCGAUUAUCGAUACCUCUACAUAAUUCAACAAAAAUAACAUCAAAAUAGAACAUUUAACAUACCAACUAAUCAUUCAUUUAUAAGCUCAAAGUUUAGCAUCAAAAUGAUCCGGAAAUACAACUCAAAGCAUCAACGAUAGUUUAAGCUAAGCAAUACCAAUAAACAAUGUCAAACGUCUAUAAAUUCUGUGAGUAACAAGUCCAAGUAAUCAUCCCAAAACAUCAUGGCAUCACUCAAGCAACAAGUCUACUACAUUGCCUUAUUCCCACAGUUCAAAAUAAUACUAUAAUUCACCUACUCAAAUGCUAAACUACUUAGAUCAGUCCCUUGGAAAAUAUUUCGCAUCGCUCACACCGCAAUGUUUAACAGUCUGCAAAGGUUUAAAAAGGAGUGGGUGGGCUUAAACAAGCUCUGUGAAUGAUCAGAAUAACUAUUAUGCAAACAUGUCAUCAUGCAUUAACGAAGCAUUCAUAUAGCCCAAUUACAACAUUUCCAACUUUAGCGUCAUAUUACUUAAUCAUGCAUUAUUCAAAUGUUCAUUUACAUAGAAUUCACAUACUCAUUUAAGCUUAUAUCACAUCACACAUAAUCACAUUUAAUGAUAAUUUGACACUUGAGCUAUGAAACAUAAAAGUGGGCUCUAUCACCAUACAUCGGAUACAUAAAUCUCCAACACACCAAAUGACUCGUAGAGUCAAACAUAUCCCAAAAAUGAAGCAUAUAGCUAAAACUCUUCAACACACCAACAUAUCCUGAUGAAUAGAGCUUAGCUCACAUUCCCUUAUCUCUCCAAAACUAUCGCAGGCCUUAACACCCCUAAAACACAACACAUAUAGGUGAGUAUUCACAAUCCUAUGGCAUGCCAACUAUAUAUAACAAUCUCAAAUAUCACAAGCCCAAAAUAUUUGUUAUUAAACACACAUAUUACUUACCAUUUUUGCACUUUUUCACUGCAUAUUCACAUUAUAAGCACAACAUAAGCACUGUUGUUUGGCAUUUAUAACAUGCCCACAAUCAACUCUUUCACAAUAGCCAUCAUAAGCUUAUUUUUUACAUGUUACAAUAUCAUAUCUUAAUCCAUAAAUUCACAACACAUAAUCAUAUAUUAAAUCAAUAGUAUAAGAAAGCUAGUAUGAGAAAGCUUACACUCGAAAUUUAGAGUAGAGGUUUAGGCUACUUCUAAAUUCUCAAUUAACGUAAUUAAUCAUGUCUACAAGCAGCGAUUCCAAACAAUCACCGUUCACGCUUUCACCUAGACGCGCUUUUUCUUACCUUUCUCUUUACUCGUAGAAGGUCCUAACGAUUCCGAAGCUUCAACCGAAUAAUUCACACAACAACACAAUCAACAUUCAGCCUAGGACUCACCAAAAUAAUCUAAAAACAUAGGCCUAAGCUAAAUUCUCUUGAAAUCGAAACUUUCGACAUAACAAACUUGAAAUUAAAAUAUCUUAAUCUUUACUCAUUCUCAUUACUUAUAAUCGAUUCUAAUUAUCUAAUUAUAUAUUAAAGACUAAUUCUCAACCUUCAAACUACUAAAAACUAUGCAAAUUCAUGGAUCCAAACUUUCGACAUAUAAUGGAAUUUUCACAAACACUCAAUAAAACGUUGGAAUUUUAACGAAACUUUAAGGAAUGUUUAGAAACCUUCUAAUCAUGUAAAAACUAAUUGAAAAAUACUUUGAAACCAUGUUUUUACUCAAAAUCUCAAAAUUCACCAUUAGCGACCCAAUUUUCGACUUUUAUUCAAAACAUAUGAUUUAAUGGCUAAAAAUUCAGUUUCAAAAGCUUGAUAACAUUAAAAACUAAUAUGAAAAUGGUUUGUUACCUUCGAUGGAAGAAAAAAUGAAUGAUUAGUCGAAAAUUUGGAAAACCCACAAACUUGAACGAUGCCAAAUUCAAUGGUGCUUUUGGUGUUUUUCUUAAAAUUCUAUUGAGAUUUAUAGGUGAUGAUAGAAAUCAAAUGAAUGAAGUUUGGGAAUCAAAAUUGAAUGAAUAAGGUUUAGGAAAACAAUGGGCGACAACAACAAAUAGAUGGAGAAGAAGUAUCGUGACUAAUAUACAGAUGAAGGGGGAAAAUAGGGUAUUUUUAAAACUUUAGGAUAUUUACCUUAAUGGUACUCCUAAUUCAAACCCUUCUACAAAAUAGUCCUUAUGUUAAAAUCAAAGAUCUUUUUAACCUUAUUUUAAAAAAAAAAUUAAAAAAAAAACUAUAGUAAAAAAUAAUUUCAGGUUAUCACAAUUCAAUAUUUCUAAACCUAUUCCGAAUCAAAAUUUCCAAUUUACCCUCAAAAUUUCCAGGCCCAAUUUUGGUGUGUGACAAAAAAAACUAAAGUAUGAAAUUGAAAAAAAGUACGUACUAAAGUGAAUAUCAAAUCCAAACUCAGAUACCAAAUUAAGACAAAAAAAUUUGAGGUGCCAAAUUAAACAUUGAAGCCAAAAUAAAGUAUCAAAUAGUAUAUCAAUCAUUUAUGACUUUUUUGGUUUCUCAUGUAAGAAAAUGAGGAAAAUACUCAUUUAUUCUAUAUAUACUACAAUAGUUAGACAUAAAAUAAAGAAUAGCUAGUGCAAAUUUACACUUGAAAUUAGAAAGAUGAGUAAAAACUCUAGUAAAAAAAAGAUAUCUUCAAAAUAAGCAGAAAAUUUUCCUUUUUUCUCUAAACAAAUCAUGUGAGUGGCUAAAAAUUACAAUUGAAAUUACUCUAUUGCUAACUCAUAUACUAAAACAUGGUAAAGUACCCUGGGCUUCCAAUGAGUUUCAAAUUUGAGAAAGUACUUGGGUAUUCCACUUUUUCAUAAAAGAGUCACCAAAGAUACGUUUCGUUUUAUUGUUGAGAAAGUUCGUGAGCAGUUAAUGGAUGGGAUGUUAGAGUUAUUUCGUUAGCGGAUUGUGUUGUGCUUGCUAAGUUAGUGUUAUUCUUAAUCUCUUUUUAUUACACGCGAAUUACUAAGAUCCCUAUAGGCAUUUGUAUGGAAAUUGAGAACAUUGUUAGAAGCUUUAUUUAAGGGGGUAUUGAUUCGAAGAAGCCAACUCUUGUGUCUUGGAACCCAUGUUGCCAAAAACCCUAUGAGUAUGGGGUUUAAGUAUUCAAAAAAUGAAUAUGAAUAACCAUUCUUUCCUAAUAAAAUUGGGCUUCACAAUUUUGACCAACAAAAAAGCUUUAUGGGUUCAAAUUUUGCACUCUAAAUAUAACAUGUGGAAACAUGUCCAACCAGUGUUAAUAGACCAGCUACUUCUCAUGUCUGGCGGUCCAUUGUAAGGGUUUAAGAUGAUAUUAUGUGCAAUAUUCAUUCAUCAAUUGGCAAUGGACGUAGCACUAAAUUUUGGAAGGAUGUUUAGGGUACUUGUCUUUGUCACGGGGCUAGAACUUUAGUUUCGCAAUCCAUGUGACCUUAGGUGAUUUCUUUGCUUCAAAUUUGCCUAAGUCAACCAAACUCUCACAAAGUGAGAAUUCUUGAUAAAAUUCUCCAACGCGCCGAAAAUAAAGUGGAAGCAACUCAAAACGAAAAAGAAACAAAAGAAUAGAAAAGUCACAAAAAAGAAAAAGCACGUCAAGUGUUUGAGUAAAUGCUCUCAAUAGUAUUUAAUUACUAUAAAGGAUUACAACUGAGUGAUUACAAAUGAGGGGGGAUACCUUUAUUUAUAUUUAAACUCCCCCAAAUCCCUUGGUACAGAUUAAAUUACAUCAAUGAUCAAGAUUAUAGCAUACCUACAAUUGAGAUUCUUAAAGGUUUUACACAAUCCCUUAAUAUUACAUAAUCAAGUCUUAUCAAAUUACAUAUCUUAUAAGAUUACUUGUCAUAUUUACCAAGGUAACUAAUUUUUAUUAAGUAUUUCACUAGGCCACCAAGGCUUCAUAUAUGGGUUUCUCCACGUGUUCUAGGAAUUGGGCUAGUUCAAAUGGGUUGAAUGAGCUAUAUUUCAUCAAUUGACCUCUAUGGGAUGCUAUGCGUGCAUUCGUCAUGGACUUUGUAUAACACCCUAUAACACCCCUAACUCGUAUCCGACGCCAGAACAGGGUUACAGAGCAUUACUGGUCUUAUAACUCAAACAUCACAUUUCAUGUUCAAUUCUCAAUCUAAACAAAAACCAUUCAAAUACAAUCAUAUAGUCCCUAACACGAGCCCUAGAGGCCCAAAACAAGCAUUAGAAGUGAUUCGGGACUAAACCGAUAACUCAGGAAAGUUUUGAGAGAACAUUGAAAAUUUUCAAGGUACAAGGGUCACAUGCCCGUGUAUCCUAGCCGUGUCUCUUACAUGACCAAGAGACAUACUCGUGUCUCAGGCUGUGUGGGUAUUCGAAAUUGGAUUACAUGGCCGUGUCCCAGCCCGUGUCCGACCCAAUGUAACUCUUUGACUUGGUUCACACGGCUAGACCACACGCCCAUGUGUCAGCCCGUGUGCCUCACGAAAUGGCCACACAUGCCCGUGUUCAGGCCGUGUACUAAAUCAUGCUAAAACUAGAGGGUAUACUGACUUGUGCCACACGGCAAGCUACACGCCCAUGUGCUAGACCGUGUGAAGCCAUUAACUUGAUUUUUGAAUAGUAUCAAGGGACACACGACUGUGUACCAUGGCUAUGUGUCACACACGACUGAGACACACACCUGUGUCUCUACCCAUGUGGGAAAAAAAUAGGCUAUUUUCCAAGCCAUAUUCCUCACGCAAAGUGGUGCCAACCUAAACUCAAUAAUGCACAUCCAACCAUGGCAUAAAUAGGCACUUCAAGCAAACCAAUAUCAAGUUUAUACUAUACACAAACCACACAUACAACAUUAUGUCCACAAGCACAUUCAUUUGACCACUUUUAAACAUACCAAAGAUAUUUCUAAAGUAUAACUAAAUGGUCAAUUACAUGCUUUAGACCUUGUGCCUAACUUAGCAUACAUGCUUAUCUCAAUUCCAACCAUUUGCUACACAAGAUACCAAUCCACAACAAGGCAUUCACAAAGCUACUAUACACAACAUAUCAAAAGGCCAUAUAUAUACAUACUUACAUAUCAAAACAUAUAUCAUUCUCAAGCCAACUCACUUGGCUAAUUAUACAACCAACAUAUAGGCUACCUUAACCAAAACACCUAUACAUGCCAUUUCACCCAAAAUAUACAAAGUCCAAAAUACCAAAAUGAGAGUUUGAUUAUGUGACACGAUCUCCGACGACUUUCGAAUCGAGCGAGCUUCUGAUUCAUUAUAAAACAUAGAAACAUAAACCGAGUAAACAAUUAAGCUUAGUAAGUUUGUAUAACUAUUAAAAACAACCUUCCAAAACAUCCAUAAUUUAACUUAUCAAAAUUAAUAUUUAGGAAAUUUACAAUUCGACUUAAAGCUUAUCACAUAAUCGUAAUUAGGUUAACCAUGUAUAGCUACCUUCACUAUGAAUUACUUUUCGUAAUUCUUGUGAAUACUUGUACUAUUUACUUUAACUCGAAUCACUUCGUAUUAUUACUAAGCUCAUUGGAUUAUUUAAAUAUCGAUAAAUGCACUUACCUCAUCUUUCUGAAUCUAAGAUUGGCAUAUGAAUAUGAGUACAUUAUUUUCCUUGUGCCAUAGUCCAACUAUGAUCUUUUACGCGAAAUGCCAUGGCCCUACUGUAACAGUCUGAUUUUGACCCUAGUCAGAAUAGUGGUUUCGGGACCACAUAUCCGAGUCAGAAAAAUUUUUUUAUAUUAUUUUCUGUGCCUAUUAUAAGUGAAUUUACAUGUGUGAAAGUCUCGUGUGAAAAUUUAACUGCUUGUGUGCUUAAUUUGCAAAAAGGACCUAAUCGCGUAAAAGGUAAAAGCUGUGUGCUAGAUGUUAAAAGUGCCCAUUUGAUUUGGCUUAUUAAAGGUGAGGUCCUUAAGAUGUUAUAAACCCAAUUACACGUUAGUGGAUGAUAUGGUUUGGCAAUAUGGUAAAUAUAGUUAAUCUUAAAGGGUGGUUAGGUAAAUAGCAUAAUAAUGUAUAUUAAAAUAAAACAAAACAAAAAAAAAUGGUCAUUGUCAUCUUGUAUUGCUGAAAUUUAAAAGAAAAAGAAUCCAUUGAAGCUUCAAAGUAUUUAGCCAUUGCAUGAGUGAAUAGGUAAGUCUAUUUUGCUCGGUUUUUGAUGAUUUUGUUGUUUUUGAGAUCGUUGCUUUGUGUUCUAGCUAGCCUAUGCUUAAAUUCAUGGAAUUGUUGAUGAUUUGGAAAUAUACCAUGGAUAAAAUCAUGAUUUUUUUGAUGUUAGUUGAUGAAUUAUGGAAGCUUGAUGUUGGGUUUAAAUGUUUUGUCUUUGGAUUUUUGAUGAAAUUGAGUAUUUUGGGCUAAAUUAUAAAAAUGUUAUUUUGAGGGACUAAAAUGAGAAAUAAAUGAAAUAUAGGGACUUGUAUAAGAGUCAUUAAAAUUUGGCUAAGCUUGUGUAUAUGCAAAUUAUGUGUAUUUUGUGAUUUUGUGAAAUAGGGACUAAAGUGUCGAAAUGUGAAAAUGUGAGGGCUAGUUUGAAAAAUACCCUAAAUGUGUGUCUAUGGAUUGAAUUGAAUUAUUUGGUGAAUAAAAGGGUUAAUUUUGAAUACAUAUAGAUCAAGAAAAAAGGAAUUCGAAUUUAGAUCGAGGGAAGUCGAAGGUUAUCGAGUAGACGAUUCAAAUCGACAAUUUCGAGUUCGAGGUAAGUUCGUACGUGAUAAAUGAUGUUAAAGUUAUGUUUUAAUGUGAUGGUAAGGCAUAAAUUGUAUAGAUAUUUGAUUUCGGUUUGAGUAUGAUGAUAUUCGACUAUGCUUGGCACUAAGUGUGCGGUUUAAUAUAGCUUCAGCUACAAAUGGCACUAAGUGUGCGAGUUGGAAUAGCUUCGACUAUAUAAGGCACUAAGUGUGUGAUACCGACUUAGCUUCGGUUAAUUGAAAUGGCACUAAGUGUGCGGAAUCAUUUUAGCUUCGGCUUACCUUUACAGCACUAAGUGUGCGGAUGUUAAAGUAUGAAUAAUUUACGGAAAGUCUUGAAAUACUCAAACAAUAGGUGAGAAUGAAAGUGAAUAAGUAUGGGAAGAUCUAGGUAUGUACGAUACCUUUGUGGUGGAUGAUAUUAUAUAAGUAAAGUUUAUUGGAUUGUUAUGAACAUAUGGAUUGGGUUAGUAUAGAUUUGAUAGAUGAUUUGAAUUUCGUAAAUACUUAUGUGUUGAUGUUUUAUGUUUUAUAUACUGUUGAUGAUUAUAGUAUGAGCUUACUAAGCUUUUGAAAGCUUACUUUGUGUGUGUUUGUAUUGUUUUAUAGAUAUCGAAUCUACUACAAGCUCGAGGAUCAUCCAGGAUCGUCAGCACACUAUCGAACCUCAUUUCGGUACUUUUGAAAUUGUAUAUUUUGAAGUAUGGCAUGUAUAGGCUAGUAGUUGUGGAAGUAUGUUUUUGUGAUGAAUAUACUUAGCCAUGUGAUUUGGCUAAUUUGUGCGUGAACUCAUAGUUGAUAAUGGUUUAUAGUAUGUGAUGUUAUAAUGCAAUUGUGGUAUGUUUUAGAUGGACAAAAGAAAUGGUAAAUGAUGGUAGGUUUUGGUAGGUUUAGUAUGGGUUUGAAUGAUGUAUGGAAGAAAUGUUCUGAAAUGAAUUUACCCACAUUUGGCAUGAAUUGGUAAGGUUUAUGUGUAUGGAAUUGGGUGACUAUUUUAUGAGAUGAAUAGCUUAAGAUUUGGUGUGAAAUUUGGCUGAAUUGGUUAUGCAAAAAUGCUUAUUUCUUUGCUUGUAUGUUGACCCAAGUUUGGGGUGGCAAAUUGGCUAUUCAAAUGGCUUAUUUUGUCCACACGAGCAUGUGUCUCAGCCGUGUGCGACACACAGCCAUGUUGCACGGUCGUGUGUCCCUUAGGAUACCUUACAAUUGUAAGUUAGGCUCGAACACGGCCAAAGCAUAUGGGUGUGUGGCUAGCCGUGUGGCCAAGUCAGAUUCGACCACGGUCAAGGCACAUGGGCGUGUCUUGUGGCUAUCUGGGCAAGCCAGUAGCUAUGCCCUGUUUUGCCACGGCUUUGACACACGGACAUGUCUAGACCGUGUGAGGUACACGGCCUGUUCACACGGGCGUGUGACCUUUUAAAAGUGGAAAAUUUUUAUAAGUUCGAAAACUUUUAUAUGUUAUCAAUCUAGUCCCGAAUGCAUGUUUAAGCAUUGUAUACUCGAUUUUAUAUGAAUAUUUAUGUGAAUGAAUGACUUUUAUUAGUAAUGAAAUGAUAUUCGAUGUAUGGUGGUUCUGAUUUAAGUUAUUAGUCUGGUAAUGCCUCUUAACCUAUUCUAGCGACGGUUACGGGUUAGGGGUAUUACACCUACCAUGGUCUUACAUUCAUAGUGCCAUAAACCAGUUAUGGUCUUAUCAUCAGAAUGCCAUAGCCUGGCUAUGGUCUUACAUACUAAUGUUGCCAUGGUCCAACCAUAGUCUUAUCCGUAAAUUCCUCAUUUGCAUAAAACAUUUGUACUCAAUCCUGUGAUGUACUUGUUUGAACAUUUAAUUCCAUUUCAAAGUUUAACAAUACAUAUGUACAAGUGCAUAAUAUCAUUCAUCAAUUAAAUAAAUAAACAUUAAAUGUUUAAUUGUACGAACUUACCUCGUAAUUGUACGGAUUAAAUCGACCGAUCAAUCUACCACUUUAUAUUUGCCUCGAUUUAGGUCCGAAUGUUGCUUUUCUUGAUUUAUAUAAUCAAAUUUAACUAAUUCAAUGCUUAUUCUAUUCUAUUCAAUCCAAUUUCAUAUUAGAAAAAAUUACCAUUUUGCCCUUAUACUUUUGACCUUUUUACAAAUUAGUCCCUAGGCUCGUAAAAUGAAAUUUAUGAAAUUUCAUCCAUAUCAAAGCCUAACCGAAUUAUCUAGGUGCUCAUAGAAGCCCAUAUAACCCUCAAUUUCACACAUAUAACUCAAAAUCUUCAUACUUCACAUAUUAACCCCUAAUUGAAUUUUACAUAAAAAUUCACUUAACAAAAAGUAUUCCAAAAACAUAAAAAUCAACAAAAACAAACACCAAUUUCACUUACAUGAAAGGGAAUUUGUGGCUGAAAAAUUCAAGCUUUCCAAGCUCUUAGUUUGCUGAUAUUUUUGGUUGAAAAAGAAAGAAGAAGAUGGCCAUUUUGUUUUUAUUUUCUUUACUUUAACAUUAGUCAACAAUUUACUAACCCCUUACCUACUUUGACUAUUCAUGAUUUCACCACAUGUACAUCCAGUCGCUUCUUUAAUGGUCUAAUUACUCAAUAAGGACCUCUAAUUUAAUAUUCUAUAGCUAUUUAAUACCUUUAGCUAAUAGAACAAAACUUUCACACUUUAUGCGAUUUAAUCCUCUUUCACAAAUUGAGCAAACAAACGGUAAAAUUUCUUAACGAAUUUUUUUUACCAUACUUCUAACAUGCUGUAGACCACAUAAAAAAUAUUAAAUAAAAAUUUUUGACUCUGAAUUUUUGGUCUCAAAACCACUGUUUUGAUUUCACUGAAAACGGGUCGUUAGACACCCAAUUCCUGACCCGCUCACUGAGUCCAUGUUCCGGAUGAUACAAAUUUUGGAUAACUAACUAACAUUAUUUAAAUUUCAUUUUCCAACAGAUUAACUAAACACAACAAUUGAUACUAAUACAUAUAUCAUUUCAAAUUUCUACUUAAUAAUCUCAUUUACAAUUUUGACUGUAAAUCUCAAAUAAUUUGUGGUUUGGCUAAAACUCCAAGGCACAGCCUCUAGGAGCACCCCUCUAUAUGCCACUUUCGUUGUCAGAGCAACACCGAUCCAAUUUAACCUUUUUCACAUGCUACUAACUACAUCAUGCUUUCACAAUAUGUUUUUCAAUAAUAUUCGAGUCUUAUACGAGCUUAUGAAAGCUCAUAUGCUAACUUGAGUCGAAUUAGGACCAAAAUGUAAAGUUUGCAAACUAUAAGACUGACGUCACAAUUAGGGUUUCCAAGUCAUGACGCAUCUUAUUGUUGAUUCCUCAUUGUGACGUAAUUUUUUGUUUCCAAAAGAUCCAAAAGGUACCAUUUUGCAACACCUAAACAACCAAGCCAAUAUCUCAAUUAUGUCAUUUCAGCAAAGUUAUGAGUUACAUAUACUCAUUUCUAGCCUUUAGUAUUAUGUAAACAUAUACAUUACACAAUUUACCAAUUAUACUUUGAUACCAAAUCAUUUCAUCCAACCUAUUAUCAUAUUCUUGGAGGGUUUUUUGGUCAUGGCAUAGAUGUACUUAUUGGAAAAAGUGGUUUGUUAAGGUCAAUGAGUUAUGUCAAGUUGUGUGUUUGUAAUGUUGUUAUGAAGUUUUAUGUUAAUUUGCUGUAAAGUAUUAAGUAACAAAUAUAGUAAAUUGCAUUAAAAGGUAUUUUUAUGUAGAGAAUGGUAUAAAGUUAGCCCUACAAUGAUAAGAAAGUAUUGUCUAAAUAUGAUGGGUCCUAUUGAGGGGGAGAGGUGAUGUUGCUGUUAAGGGGAAGUAAUUUUGAUAUGAUGAUGUUGAGCAAGAAGAAGCACCUCAGACCCAAUAAAUGCCAACUUCUCCUGGCCCCAAGGUUAUUCCCUAUGAUAUUCAUAAAAUGAUGAUUGAGGAUCUUACAUCCUUUAUUGAAGCCAAUGGUAGGCACAUUACCAGACUCCUUAUUGAAGCCAAGACUAUGAAGAAGAUCAUAAAUAGGAAAAAGGCUCUUUGUGCUAAUCUAAUAUCCCUUCCUAACGAAAAAUAAGUUGGCAAUCUUCUUGAUCAAAAAGAGGGAGAAAAGAAGUAAGGGGAAGUUACUGGUGAUAGGGGAGAUUCAUAUUUUGCUUCAAAUUCAUUGGUAUUACUGUUGCUUUUUGGAACUUAUGGUUUUUGGAGGUUUGUUUCUUGAUUUUGCUAUUUCUAAUGGUUGGAUUUCAUUUGGUGAAUAAAUGAUGAUUACUUUGGUUGCAUAUAUUUUUCAUGAUUCAUUAUUGUUGGAUUAAAAGGAAAUAUAAUAAGAGGGAGCAAGUUGUUAAUUUAUGUUUAAGCUUCCUACUUUGUUUGUGUUUUGUUCAAAAAAUUUCCAAAUGAGGGGAUUGUUGAAAAUACAGAAAGACUGAAGAAGUGUCUGAGGGAGUGCCCGCUCCCUGACCAACUACGACAGAUUAGGCUAUUUCCAUAUUUGAGUUGUUAGCAAUUUAUUGGGCCAAAUAUUUUGGUUAUAUUGAGAUUGUGGAUCGUAUCUGGCCUAUUAAUGAAGAUCAUAUCACUUGAGGAAAUGUAUAAAGAGGGUUGGAUCGAAUCGAAUCAAAUCAAAUCAUACUUAUCUAAUCCCUUAGAUAAGGAAGUUGGAUUGGUUUGUAACAUUAAAGACUUAUAUUUUAUUUAUUAUAUUUUAUUCAACUUAUCUAACAAUAAUCCUUGUUUACCAAUAAUUCUUGUUUACCUUAUUUGCUAUUAUUAUAUUUUAUUAAACUUAUAUAGUGAUUGUUUUAUAAAGAUUGUUAUAGAUCUUCUCUAUGUUAGCAAGUCUCGGACAACUCUAUAUAAUAGAGAGACUUGUAUAGGAUUAUGUUCGGGAAUUGAGAGCAUUUAAUCUAUUCAAGUGAGGAACAUUAUUUAUAAGAGUGCAUUUGAUUGUAAAACCUUUGGGUUGUGGUUUUACAUGCUUAGUUCACAGGGGUGAAUUUAGUGGCGAGGGUUCUAGUCUUCAAAGGUACAAAAGUGAGGAAAUUGUCACUUGGGUGUCAUAGAUUUAAGGUCACUUGCUGUAAAUGUUUGGAGAUAGUGAAUACUUCUCACUGAGCAAGACUUCGCGAGCUGCGUAAACAAAAUUUUUGUUAUCUCCUAUUACAUUUCUGUUAUUGCAAAGCUUGAAAAAAUAUCCACUUAUUUAAUCACUUCUUCCAAACACUUUGCUUAUGUCUCAUAAACUAUUCAAACCAACACUAUCUUUUAUUUCUUAUUUGAAUAUAUAACAUCUUUUAAUCUUUAAAUUACCACAGAUAUAUUUUAAUGUGAAGUGGUUGAAAUUUUAUAAGUCAUGUUUAUAUUGAAAAAUAAAUUAUUGUGGUUAUCAAUGGUAAAUAUGGAUGACAUAAAGAGUAAAAAAUUCCCUAGCCUACCCUCCACGCCAUAUGGUUAAUAAUAUCAUCCACAAGAAAAUAAAAUAUCAGCAUUCAAUCUUAUAUUAUUUCACUCCAAGCCAAAAGCAUAUGUUAAGUUAAACCAUAACCAAAUAAGCCUCCCAAAAUGCCUGCUUUAUUCUAUCAAUAUUUCACAAGACUUGACUUGCUUUAUAUUAUAUCUGUCAAUUUAUGAUGAUAAACAAAGCAUGUAUAAUAUAUAGUGCAAAGGUGGAGUAUGAUUUAUGUUACCUUUCCUUCUAACCCUUUUGUAUUAACAAUAAACAAUAUUUUAAAAUUAACCUAUCAUUUAAUUUUAGGUUUUAGAUAAACUAUAUAUCAGGGUCAAAUUUAGAAAAAAAAUUAAGGGGUUAAAAUUAAAUUAUAUUUUUUAUGAUAGUAAAAAAUAAUUUCACUAUUUAAUUAAUUUAUAUUUUUAUAAUUUUUAAAAGAUUAAAUUAAAAUUUUAUCAUUUUUAGAAAGACUAAAAUACAAUUUUACCUUUAUUAUUUAAAAUUUUUAAAAACCUCCACUAUAAAAAGCUUGGGGUGGCAAGCCGGGAUGAGGCACAUCAAGGAAGCCAAAGCAGCGCAUGAGAAACUAGAGAGGGAGGCGGUUGAGGCUGAGAUUGGGCGAGAUAAGGAAAGGGUGGCUGCAAUUUUUUUUCUACCACUAGAAUGAAGAAAAUUUUUCCUUAGUUUCACUAUUAGCUUAGGUUUAGGCUAAAAGAAUUUCAGACGUGGAAAAAAUUUAUUAGUCGGAAAGUAAUAAAUAUUAACAUAAUUUUUAAAAAAAUCCACGUGGACGUCCGUUUUUCAUUUUAAUGGGAGUGAUUAAAAUACGAAUGCCUAAAUUACAAACAUAUUUUUUUUUGGUGUCUAAAAUGAUUUUUUUUAUAGUUGAUUGAUCGUUUGUGUAGUUUACCUUUUAAUUUUAUACUCGAAUGGAGUAAAAAAAUAUGCAUAAUUAAUAUGAAUGAAUCACAUUUCAUCACCAACUCUUUAUUUUUUUAGAGAGCACUUGCAUUGAGAGAGAUUAGUUACGGCUACCAAUGGUGAAUAUUUUGGUUUCAACCAAAAAAUGGAGUAAAACCUUGAAAGUUAAAAUAUACUCUAAGUUCCUAUACACUUCAUACAUUUGGAAUUUACUCCCUCUAUUUUUAUUUUCAAAAAUUUUCCCCCUAUACUUUUCGGGUUUAAACUUUUAGGUCAAGUUGUACCGCAAUUAAAAUUCUUAUAUUAAAUUCAUUGGCUUGACAUUUUGAAAUUUAAAAAAAAAUCAUUAACAUUGAAAAUGUUUAUGUGAAUUUUUUCUUAAAAACGCCCAUUUGAACUCAUCAUUAUAAAAUAAUACUUUUUUUUUGUUGGAAUGGUGUUUUUAAGAAAAACUAAUGUAAGCAUUCUGAUUAAAAUACUUAAUAUUGUUAAAUUAACAGUAUUAAGUAUUUAGACUAACUAAUGACAUUAUAAAAAUAGAAGGAUCAAAUUAUGUCAAAAAUUGAAGUGUGUAAAUCAAAUAUCAAGUUUCAACAUACUAUAGGAGCUAUAAUUGAAGUUUGAUCAUUGUCUUAUAAUGUCAAAGAAAAAGAAAGAAGACAAAUCCAAAAGAAAUGGAAAGAUAUGUGUUCGUCUUUGAGACCCUUAUGACAUUUAAAUUAUAUAUAAACACAUAACAUCUUAAUUGAAAAGUUAAUUAUAUUAACUAUUUGGACUUAUUAAUAACAUUAUAAAAAUAAAAGGACCAAAGUAUGGAGGUUCAAUCUCAAAUUUAAGCAUUAUAGAGGGACUAAAUUGAAAUUUAACCAUUUUUCUAGGUCAUUAGUUCCUUCCUAGUUAUAUAGAUGGGCUGCCAUGGAUGGACAUUGUUGGUAUUGUUUCUGGGCCUUAACCGAAAGAGGAAGAUGGCUUCAGCUGUAUGGCAUGUAGUAGUAGUAGUCGUCGUCGUCUUUCAAACCAUAGCGCUGCAGAUAUGUGCAAAUAUACCAAUAUCACCUAAGUUGAUAAUUCUCAUGUACCUUUGCCGAAACAUGUUCUACAGCCACAGCCUCUGAGUUCUGGUUUUGCUCUUGGAUGCUGUUAUUCUAAUGCACAAUCUCUCUGCUUAAAAAUGAUUAUUCAGUUCCCUAACAUGACUGUCUAAUGAGAUCAUAACAAGUCCAAGACAAAAGGACUUAUUAGUCUUAGCAUACACAUGAUGGCUUUGCUUACAUGACCCUUCUGCAAGUUUUUUACCAUUUUGAGCAAUAGGAGAUUAUUAAUUAUAAAUUACAGUAAAACUCAGUUAUUACAUACAACUACUAUAUGAUUAGAUAACUCAAACACAAUUUUUAAACCUACAAAUGAUGGGAGAACACUGCUGCAGGAAGCAUUUUACAAAUUUAUAAUACAAACAUGACGCAGUCCUUACGUAACAUAAACUACACGAACCCUCUGAGGGAGAUGAUUGAUUGCUGGGUCGUGACUUGAAUUAUAUGGAGGAAGCAGUUGGACAUGGGGGAACGCAUAUAUCAGUAAUGCCUUCCAGCAUCAUCACUACAGUCUUGAUGGAAGGACGCAGUGCUGGUUCAUCUUGGAUACACCAAAGUGUCACCAUCACCAUUCUUUCCAAGCUUUUCUUAUCUACUUCUUCACCAAGCACAAGCUUAUCCAACUUUUUUUCAACCAGACAUUUAUACACCAAAACCGACAGAAUGAUCUCCUCUGGGUUUGAUACAGUGGUGUCCAAGUUUCGUCUGCAAAACACAGUUUCCAAUAGCACAAUUCCGUAACUGUAAAUGUCAGCCUUCGCUGAUAUUGGAACAUUCUUAUGCCAUUCUGGGGCCAUGUAUCCUCUAGUUCCCCUCACUACUGUGAAGGUCCUUGUAUGAUCCCCCAUCAACAGUUUUGCCAGCCCGAAGUCUGAAAUUUUAGCUCUCCAAUAAUCAUCCAUCAAUAUGUUUUGCGGCUUUAUGUCACAGUGAAUGACUGGGGUCUCACACUCCUCAUGUAAAUAGAGGAUUCCUCUAGCUACAUCCAAGGCUAUUCUUGUUCUUUCAUCCCAAUCAGGGCUCUGUCUUGACUUGAACAGUAGAUCAGCAAGGGAGCCAUUGCCCAUGUACUCAUACACCAACACCCUCUUGGAGUCCUCAGCACAGUAUCCCAAAAGUCGAACUAAAUUCUUGUGGUGAGCUCUGCCAAUUGCUCGCAUUUCUGCUUGGAACUCUCUUUCUCCUUCUUCCACUAACUUCUCCAAUCGCUUUACUGCAAUCAAAUUUCUUCCUCUGUUUAAGGACCCUUUGUAGACUGCUCCAAAGGAUCCCUUACCCAACUCUUCUUUAAAACCAUUCGUUGCUCUCUUGAGUUCAUUGUAUGAAAACGAUGUCAACGUAAGCUCUCCAGUUAGGCCCAAAUUUCCAAUUUCCAACAGCCUUUUGUAUCUUAGAACUCGAAAUUUAAAAAUGAAUACACCAGAGAUUGCAAGCAAAGCACAUGAACAUGCGACAAGACUGAAAGUUAAAAGAAGAAUUUUCAGCGUCGGAUCUUUCCGUUCGAUAUUGGGCUUUAAUUCAUCGGGAACAGCACCGUCAUCUGCUUCUAGGCUUCUGAUUCCCAUCUUCAAGAAAGCUGUGGAAGUGGAACUCUCGUCAUUAGCACCUUGUUGUCGUAGCAAAUGCCAUAGUGGAAGCUUUUGUUUCCUGCAAACUCCAUCGCUAAACUGUGCUGCCUCACAAUUACAGUCUUCCAAGCAUGUUUGGCGGCAGGCACUCAUGGACAUUAGCUCUUCACUGUAAAAUAUACCUGUAUGCCAUACCAUAUUUUGCAAUAGAGUGAUGUCAUAAAGGGGUAUAUUGUCCUUCCCUCCUUUACAAUGUGCUUCACUAUAAUUUCUCUUGCAGCCGAGGGUAUUGCGUUGAGGAUCGAUAAAAUCAGUGCCGGGAAGGCAUGCACAGUAAGCUCUGUCAUCAUUAAACGUGCAAUAGCUAUUGAUACCACAAAAGCCUAUAACUUUACAGGAAUCCUCCAACGCACGCGACACUCGGGAAGUUCGAAAUCCACCACUUGGCUCAAAUUGAUGGGUAUAUAACCGGAAAUUUCCAUCAACAUCAAGGCUUGCACUGUGAACGAUACUGUCGUUGCUGGUGGUGGUGGUGGUGUUCUCGUUGUGGUCAUUGUAGCUCACCUCUGGAUAAAAUCUAGAAUUAAUUUCUCGGUAGAUGGAGGAAUCAAUGUUGUCGAUAAGUUGUAGGAAGCCUGUCGAGUUAAAAAAUAAUAGGAAUGAACGAUGCACACCACCAGUAUCUGUGGCCCAAUAGGCAGUUGUAAUAUCAUCAUCGACGUCUAGAGGGUAUAGAACGAGAUUCCCAUCUCCUUGCAUACUUAGAAGAAACCUUCCACCUGAGUGAUCUUUCUCUGAAGAACUGGAGAUCAACCAGUGACCAGUUAAUAGAGCCUGACCACCUAAAAGGGUAUCUGUAGGAUGCUCGAAACUCUCCCAAAUGGUAUGAUUGACUUUGUUGUAGAGCACAAAAUUGCCUGAAUCUAGCAUGGAGGCAGAGAAGACAUUGACAGCCGAGUCAUUUGGAUAAGCAAUAACUUUAUUUUCUCCGCUCACACCGCUCGAAAGAAGCAAACCUUUCUCGUUUAGUGUCAGAGUAGCAGUUGCAUGGAGCGGCGGGUCAUCACGGUUUGCUGUCCAUACAACUUUGUUAUCUGUCUUUCCAUUGCCCUCCAGCCAAACUCCAAUUGAAAAGCCAUUGCCUUGACUGUAAAAACCAAAUGCGAAACGACCAGAAGGCGAAGCCAAUGAGGUGGGUGGAGUUAAGGGGGAAAGCGAAUAUCCCAGCCCAAUGGUGCCUUUUGAAUGCUUGUCUUCAACUCCUCUAGCCACAAAGAAUGAAGAAAGGAGCAUGAGAAGAGACCACACGGCUGCCAUAGGAAUUAUUGUAUUUCUGUCUUCUAUUUUUGGAACUGAUGAAGAAAUUAUUUAAUUAUUUUACGAAUACCCAAAUUAAAAUGGCCGAGGUCUGGAAUCAGGGUUUGCGCGGAAAAAGCCAGGUAACCUGACCCUCUUACUUUUUCUUUAUCAAGGUAACAUUACCUUUAUUGAAAGUGUAAACGUACGUCUCGAAUGCAGAAAUUAUUACAUAAAUCCUUCUCUCCACUUAAACUAUACGUCUAAUCAAUUACAUUCAUAUAUAUAUCAUUCGUAGACAUAAAUCAAGAUAAGAAAAAAUAUAAUUUAUCAUUUUCUUAUUAAAAAAAAUCACAAUUUCAUAUAAUAUAAGUGGUGGAAACUCUAACAGUAUGUUUGGUUGGCUGUAAUACCUAUGUACUAAAGCUCAAUUCAGGGGACCCAUUAUUAAACCAUGGGUAUAAUAAGCUAUUACAGCCCUAUUCCAUACAGGUUUAUUCAGGGCAAAAAUGCUAUUUAGCAUUUGGUGGUCUUCCUAUAGAAUGACGAUUCAGGGAAUGGGUGGGUAAGAAAUUAGCUAAAGCUUUCAAUUUUACCCUCACCAUUAUCCUUUCUUUCUCGUGUCUGAAAUAUUUUCCUGCUUUCAAUUUUACCCUCACCAUUAUCCUUACUUUCUCGUGUCUGAAAUAUUUUCCUUUCUUUUUCAUGCUUCUUCCUUCCACCAUAAUAUCAACAAAUUCCCAAUUUAUCAAUUUAAACCUUUUUUUAAUCUCAUUUCCUCCGAACCCAAUCUGUAGUUUCUCUUCUUAUUCAACUCUUUCUCUCUUCAAUAUAUUGCCAUCCCACUUGCAGCUAACUAGAAUCUUUCCGUCACAAAACGAAUCUUCCUUUGAAACCUGAAAAUCCCUUCUUCCUCUUGUUUUUUUUUUCUUAAACAAGUUUCGAUCUUUUUUUUUUAAUUAUGGAUUUAUUCUUAUUGAUAAAAAUGGCACUUGAAUCCUCAAUUUUCAGUCGAUCUACUUUCAUUUAUUCAACAAAUUCCUCAUCUUUCAUGUUUUUUAAUCGAAAUUUGAAGAACCAAUCAAAGUUUUUACCCAAAACCAAUCACUACCCAGCUCCUGUUAUCUCCACCUGUUCAAACCCCCAACUUUCAAAGCUUUUGGAUUCCCCAAAAAUGGUAUUUUUGGUCACGUGGGAUCAUUGAGGGAAGAAAAUGAAGGUGUGGCGAAUGAUAAAAAAAUGGUUUUGGUGAAAAGGGGUAUUUUGGUGGCAAUGGUUUAUGGUGUAUUGGUGUUUGGAUGCAAAAGAGUUUUUACUGUAGAUGGAGUGGCUAAUACUGGUUAUGGAGUUAUUGGGCAGUGCAUAUUGCUGUUGAGGAAUGCUUGUUGUCGAAAUCAUUUUUUUGAAAACGGGGAUCGACUUUGAUUUUGAAAAAUAAAACGAACAUGGGAGUCGGCACCGAUCUUUUAUUAAGUGUGAUCGAACCACCUCAUAAUUUAAUUUUUUAAAACGUUUUGUUUUACUAAAACAAUGAUUUUGGUCUACGAAAAUCGAGAAAAAGGGUUCAGGAGUCGAUUACAUACGAGGAAGGAUUAACACCCUCGUAACGCCCAAAAUUGGUACCAAAUUGAUUAAUUAAUGUCUUAAUGUCUAAGAUUUUAAAAUAUUUUGAAAGAUGAUUCUUUUUUUAAAAAAAACACAUUUGUGUGGUUUAAGUUGUUCGUCAAAAUUCUCUUGUUUCGAAGGUAUAUAGCAUCACAUCCAGCACGAUUGGACAAGAUUCUUCAUACCUUUGAAAAUAUGAUUGAUUUUUUAUCCCCGAAGGCUUGCACGUUGAAAAUUACAAAAGGAUGUCCUAUGAUUUAGUCUAACGAAGAAUCGAAACCCAGCACGGUAGGGCACGAUUUCUUCGAAUUUCUAAAACAUCAAACAUUGCCUUAUUUGAAAACCUUUAAAUAAACCAUUAUAAGCUACCUCAAGACGCUUUAAUUUUACUUGGAAUAAAAUGGAACGAUUGCUUUUAAAAAGUUGAAAAUUAUAACGCAACAUUUGUAGACGAAAAGUAAAAAUAAAAAACAUGGAAUAAUGUGCACACAUACAAUACUUGGUGCAUGAAUAUAAUAUAAUCUUAUUUAGCCAACUAACAAAACAAACUAUUAAAUAUAAUUAAUCUAAGGAAAAUGAUAUUAAAUUUUCAAGCAUGGAUAAAGAAUGAUUGAUAUAACAAUACAAAAACGAAUAAACAAUAUGCAACAAUAAUAUAUAUGAUAUAAUAUGAAACAAUCAAUGCAAAAGGUAUAAGACAAAGUAGAAAUUAGAAGCCAAUGUGAUAUAAGACAAUUUUAAAAUAAUGAUGAAUCGAGGAACACAUAAUAUACAUAAAGAAUUGAUGAGUUGCUAUGCUUGAACCCAUUUGAAUUCUGAACCGUCCUAAGCCUCGUAACAUUACAAAUUUAGAAGACCUUUGGGAUCCAAAUUAGGGCUAGUUGUUAUGCUUUUGAAAAGUGUUUUUAAAAAGUGUUAUGGAAAAGUUCUUUUAAGAAAUAACAUAUUUAUUCUAAACAUGGUUAUAAAGUAACAAAUAUAUGCAUUUAAAUAAUGUUCAAAUUAGUUAAUAUUAUUAUAUUUUAGUAAGAAUAAAAAAAUAUUAUAACUUAUUAUUAAUAUUAUAAUAUAUGAAAUAUAAAUUUUAAAUAAUUUAAACAGUAAAUAUUAUUUAUUUAUAAAAUUUUAGUAGAAUAUAUAAACUAUAUUUUAAUUUCUCCUUUUUUUUUUCAAAAGUACUUUUGAAAAGUCAAAACUUUCAACAAAAAAAUAUUGUUUAGCAUUCUUUUUGCUUCAAAAAUGUUUUUCAUGUCAAUAGUACUUCUAAAAAGCAUUACUAAACACAAUCUAUGUCAGAAAUACAAUAAUUCGUAAAUAGUCUGCAUUUGUUUGAACGAAUAUGGCCAAUUUUUUUUUAAAUGUCUAUGAGCAAUCCACAUAAUUUAUUUUCACUACAGCAAAACAGGUUUUUCGCGGCGUUUAAACAAAAAACGCCGCUAUAGUUCAGCAUUAGCGGCGUUUCUUAACAAACGCCACUAUAGAUAAGACAUUAGCGGCGUUUUUCUAAAAGCGCAACUAUAGAUCGAGCAUUAGCGGCGCUUUUAUAAAAAACGCCGCAAAUGUCCUAUCUAUAGUGGCGUUUGUUUAGAAACGUUGCUAAUAAUUUUAGCAAGACGGUCGUUUCCUUUCGGCCCUUAGUUUCAUUAGCGGCGUUUUCAAAAAACGCCACUAAAGGUUAAGUAUUAGCGACGUUUUUUGGAAAACGCCGCAAAAAAAUAGCAAGACGCUGUCGUUUUGUUUUAAACCUUAGUGACAUUAGCGGCAUUUUUAUAAAAACGCCGCUAUAGGUCUAGUAUUAGCGGCGUUUCUUAUAAAAACGCCGCAAAAAGUAUUUUAUGUAUAUAUUUAUUAUUUAAAUGGUUUAUUUAUAUUUAUAUUGAUUAAAAUACAAUUUAUUUUCAAUUGAAUAUUUAAAUUCUUCAGAAAAAACUAAUGACAUGUAGAAAAAAUUUGAAAAUUUGAAAAUAAAAAAAUAUAUGUUAAAAAUGAAAAAAUUAAAAUACUAUUAUUUAAAAUAAUUUUAAAGAUUUUUGGGUAUAUGACUGAUUGUUUGUCAAAAUAUAUAUUAAAAAAAUUCUUAUAUGAUCGUAAAAGACAUAAUAUUAAUUUUAAAAUAUCGAAUUAAUUAUCAUUAUUAUAGUUUAAGGUUUAUGGUUUAGGAGCUAAUAUUUUAAUUAAGGUUUAGAUAAGAUUAUAGAUGUGUUUAGGGAUUAUGGGUUUUGGGGUUGUGGUUUAAAGUUUAGGGAUUAGUGGGUAAAGGUUAAGGGUUAUGGAUUAUGGGUUUAAGGAUUAAGGGUCAUGGGUUAUGGGUUUAAUGGUUAAAGGGAUAUGGGUUAGGGGUUAAGGGGUUUAAUUAAUGGUUAAGGGGACAUGGCCGAAAAGGGGUUUAUGGUUUAUGAGUUAAUGUUUUAAGGUUUAUAGAUUUUGGUUUAUGAUGUAAUGGUUGGGGUUUAAGGUUUAGGGGUUAGUGGAUUAGGGUUUAAGGUUUCAUAUAUGGUUUAGGUAUUUAUGGUUUGGGGUUUAAAGGGUAUGGGAUAGGGGUUAUCGGGUAUGAGUUUAGAGCUUAAAUGGAUAGGUGUUUAGGGUUUAGGGGUUAUAGGAUUAAAUGGAUAGGGGUUAGGGGUUUAAGGUAAUUAAUUAAUUAGUGCGAAAAUUUUGAAAUUUUAUUGUUUAAAAUAAAUUUAAAGUUUUUUGGGUAUAUAAUUUUUUUAAUUUAUAUAUUAAAUAAUUUAAAAUUUUAAAGAUUUCAAAUUUAGAAUAAAUUUCAAGAUUUCAAAUUUUAAAUAAUUUUCAAUAUUUCAAAUUUUAUCUAAUUCUUUUAAAUAAUAGUUAAAUUUGAAAAAAUUAUUUAUUUAAAAGGAAAAAAUUAAAAUACUAUUAUUUAAAAUAAUUUUAAAGUUUUUAAGGUAUAUAGUUGAUUGUUUUUUAAUUUAUAUUAUUUUUAAAUUAUAUAUUAAAUAAAUCAAAAUUUUUAAGGCAUUAGUGGCGGUUUUUAUAAAGCGCCGCAAUAGGGUACUUAUUACCGGCGUUUUUAGUAGAAAACGCCGCAAAUAUGUGUUAUGUUUUCAUAAAACGGCGGCGUGUUGCUGUUGUUAUUAGUGGCGUUUACUGAAAACGACACAAAACAUGAUAAAUGGUUAGCAAACCGACGACAUUUUAUCAUUGUUUUUAGUGGCGUUUGUCCUAAAACGCCGCAAUAAGCUAUUCAUUACCGGCGUUUGUUUCAAAAUCGCCACAAAUAUGUGUAAUUCGUGAGCAAAACCUCGCCGUUUACUUUGUUUUUAGUGGCGCUUCGUUGAAACGCCGCAAACGGUAUUCAGUUUUCUAACUAAACGGCCUCGUUUUUUCCCACCUUUUAUCCCUAAAAUUACACCUGAAAAACCUUAAGUGUUUUUCCCCUAAAACUUUCCCCUAAAAUUUUCCCCCUAACCCUAAAAUUUCAGCAAUUCGAUCCUUAAACCAUUUCUCCAUCGCCGGACCCGACCAUCUGUUGUAUCGCUGUCGACUCGACCAUCUGCUGCGUCACCUUCGCACUCCUCUUUCCCAACCAAUUGGUAAGCCGAAACCCUCACUCAUCUGUUUCACCCAUUUUCUUUUCGGUUCUCAAAAAAAGUCUUGAUUUUCCUUCUUUUCCUCAAAGUAUAAUGCAAAUCCCAUGAAAUAAAAGGUUUACUAUGAAGGCUAACUAUUAGCAGUGGAGCAUAUAUAGUAUUAAACUUCGACUACAUACGUAAAUCAUUCAUAUUAUGUGCAUUUCUCUAGGAACUGCUUCUGACAAGUAAAGGUGGAUUUCUGCUGUAAAUGCUUUUUAUUUGGUAUAGCAUCUCACUCCAUUUUAAGCAUUGUGUAUGUGUCGGUUUUAGAGGCUAUGUGAAGGUGCAAUAGGACAGUUUAUUUAUUAACAGUGUUUAUGUGCAUGCAGGUGAAACUGUUAAGGUACCAAAAGUAAAUGGAAGUACUGCUAGAAAAGAAAAAUCUGGCCCUAAACCAAUAAUAAUACCCAUAGUUCUGAAGAUAUCUGAAUUUGAUCACAAGGUAUGGGUGCUUUCUCAUUCUACUUUUAUGCAUCUAGCUUUAACUAGUAAAGCACAUGAAGCUCGUAGGUGAGUUAAAUUUGUUUUAGUAAAUAAAGCUGGUUAAUUUGUUUUAGAGUCAAUGUUUGUUGUUUUAGAUGCCAUGUGAGCCUAUAGCCCACUUGUUUUCUUCUAACAUGGGCAUGAUUCCAGUUUAUAUAUGCUCCCUCUUUUGUCUCUCAAUCUGUACUUGUUUUUCUCUUGCUCAAAAUUUACUCCAUGCUCAAUUAUUUAACUUGAAGCUGUCGAUGUUUCAAACAUUUGCAUGCUAAAGAUAGUAGUACAAUUAUUAUAUGGGUACUAAUAAUUAAACUGAUCAUUGUAAAACCUCUUCUAGUUUUUGAGUGUUAAUUUUUUUGGUCAAAUUCUGUGGAAAGUCCCUGUUUUAUGCGUUUUCUUUGUGGAUUAUUUCUAAUUCUCAACUCUUUGAAAUGUAUAUUUAUGCCAAACUCCAACGGUAAUUUUUUCCCGUUAAUUUUAUCAAAUAAUUUAGGGUUAACUACCCCAUUAGUCACUCUAAGUAGUGGUUGUUCCCUUUUUUGUUAUUUCAAAUUGUUUAUUGGUUAAUUUGAUCACUCUUGAAAAGAAAUUGAUCAACUUGGUCAUUCCACGAUUAAAUGGUAAUAGGAAAAACUAAUGAUGCAUUUUCACAUAUUGUCUUUGGGUGACCAAAAUAAGUAUGAUCUCUAUUUAGAGUGAUUAAUGAGUAGCUUACCCUAAUUUUACGGUCAAUAUUUAGAGUGAUUAAUGAGUAGUUUACCCUAAUUUUUCUUGCCUUUCUCAAUGGUUGGCAAACUAUGGUAGAAAUUUCUGCAUGCUUUACCUGCUUCUUUAUUAUAAUAAUUUGGUUACUAUCAUAAUAUUAUGAACUAGGUAUUGACUUGAAUUUUUACAUUUCAUCAUAUUAAACUAGUUCCCUUUAGCUGUUGCUGAAGGCUUUGAGUCACUUCCUUGGAGAAAAAUUAGCUUGAAAAAUCUCAUUGCUAUUAGGUAAAAGGCUUAACAGCAUUAAAAUGAGUAGAGAUAUGCAAUUGAGUCCUCUUUAGCUGUUAGUAAAUGCUUUGGGUGACUGCCAUUGGGGUUCUACAUGAUGAUACUUAGCAUCGUGGUCAAAAGGAAAUUUUUAAACAUAGGGAAGAGUACAUGGUGUUCUAUUUUUGCUAUUCUGAUUGUUACUGAUGUCAUUGAUUUCAGGCAGGACUUGUUCUGAUGAUUUGAAACUCUUACACCCUAUUACUGAAAGGUUGCAUCUAGCUGCUGUUGAUCAGUUGGUGUUUCUACAAAAAAAUCUGAGCGGCUACAUUAAAGUGAAGGCUACUAACCUUUACCAGCAACGAGCAAGAUCUAAACUCUCAGAACCUCAUUGUUUCUCUAAAGUAGAUCAUUUAUGUUUUUUUUGAAGAGCAACUAUUUAUCCAAUGCUAGUUCCUACUAUUUUUUCCUUAACAAAGAUAUUUUAAAAAUGAAAAUCCAAUAAUGUAAAUUUGAUUAUGCAUUUAUCCUAUUAUACAUCUAUGUUGUGAUGCUGAUAAAAAAACCAUUUACAACAAAUGUACUUAUAAAUACUUCAUACAAAAACAAAUAAGAUUAUAGUCAAAAUAACAAUGUUCAAAUAUUAAAAAUUAAGGGAUUUUGGGUUAAAAUUUUAAUAUGCGUUUUUUUUCUAGAUUUGGUUUGUCUUCAAAAUUAGUUGGUUUGUCUUCAGUUGCCUUUUCCUUAAGGAAUUACUUAACAUGCCUUUUAGUAAAUUUUUUAUUAUUAUUUUAUUUGUUUAUUCCCACCUGUUAUUAGCAAAUAUAAUUAAUAUUAUACCAAUCAUUAAAUGUUGUUUAUUUUGAUUGUUUUGUCGACCAAAAACAGACUUCUGUUCUUCAAAUGCAAUGAGUAGGGAAGUCUCUCGACAUUAUUAGAGAUCAAUCCCAAGCAUCUCCAAAUAAACCUUCAAGAAAACAUUCCAAAUUCAAUCAAGGUAAACAUUGUCUUCCCUAACAUUUAUGUUUCUUUCAACAUGUUUUUCCUUUUAUGUUUUUAAUGUUUAUGAUGAAAGAUUUAACAUCUCUAGAAACUGAAUCAUGCAUUCACCUUUAACAUGAGGUUUUAGAAUGUUUAAGACUUGAUUCAUCAAAUUAGUUGAACCAUGUAACUCUCAUUAAAAAGUGGCAUCCAAGGUUCUAAUCCUAGUUCUUGUAACUUCAUUGCGUUUGACAAUGAUGGCACGAACCUACCAAAUCUGAAGGAUUAAAAAUCUUAAUGCAGCAGCAGCUACUCAUUAUACUAUUUAGAAGCAUUUUUUAUGUUGCCAUACUCAAUAACCAUCUAUGUUGCCAUUCACAGUGGCUUUUUAUGCUGAUUGCUGCACUAAAGAAGAGAUUCUCUCCUCGUUCACUUUUACAAUUUAAAUUUUAUAGAAGUCGACUCUAAAUUUUUUAAAACAAUGACCAAAGCUUUAAAAUUUUUUUUAUUUUUUGAUACUUGUUUUGCUCCAUCAGAUUUUAAAUAUUUUAAAGAUUCAAAGUAUAUAGGCUGGAAACCUGACGGGUUGCCUUAUAUCGAGCUGUAAGAUAUAAUGGAUCCUCCCUAGGUGUAACAACGCCACGUAUGAUGAAUCUUAAAAAAUUCAAAAAUACUUGAAAAAAAUUUCUAUCGAGCUCAUUUACUAUUGAAUAUUUAUUACCAUGUAGCUUGCUUGUCCAUUAAAAUGACAACAAUAUCUGACCUUCUCUCCAACCUUAUUUUAAAUAUUUUAAAGAUUCAAAGUAUAUAGGCUGGAAACCUGACGGGUUGCCUUAUAUCGAGCUGUAAGAUAUAAUGGAUCCUCCCUAGGUGUAACAACGCCACGUAUGAUGAAUCUUAAAAAAUUCAAAAAUACUUGAAAAAAAUUUCUAUCGAGCUCAUUUACUAUUGAAUAUUUAUUACCAUGUAGCUUGCUUGUCCAUUAAAAUGACAACAAUAUCUGACCUUCUCUCCAACCUUAUUUUAAAUAUUUUAAAGAUUCAAAGUAUAUAGGCUGGAAACCUGACGGGUUGCCUUAUAUCGAGCUGUAAGAUAUAAUGGAUCCUCCCUAGGUGUAACAACGCCACGUAUGAUGAAUCUUAAAAAAUUCAAAAAUACUUGAAAAAAAUUUCUAUCGAGCUCAUUUACUAUUGAAUAUUUAUUACCAUGUAGCUUGCUUGUCCAUUAAAAUGACAACAAUAUCUGACCUUCCCUCCAACCUUAUUUUAAAUAUUUUAAAGAUUCAAAGUAUAUAGGCUGGAAACCUGACGGGUUGCCUUAUAUCGAGCUGUAAGAUAUAAUGGAUCUUCCCUAGGUGUAACAACGCCACGUAUGAUGAAUCUUAAAAAAUUCAAAAAUACUUGAAAAAAAUUUCUAUCGAGCUCAUUUACUAUUGAAUAUUUAUUACCAUGUAGCUUGCUUGUCCAUUAAAAUUACAACAAUAUUUGACCUUCUCUCCAACCUUAUUUUAAAUAUUUUAAAGAUUCAAAGUAUAUAGGCUGGAAACCUGACGGGUUGCCUUAUAUCGAGCUGUAAGAUAUAAUGGAUCCUCCCUAGGUGUAACAACGCCACGUAUGAUGAAUCUUAAAAAAUUCAAAAAUACUUGAAAAAAAUUUCUAUCGAGCUCAUUUACUAUUGAAUAUUUAUUACCAUGUAGCUUGCUUGUCCAUUAAAAUGACAACAAUAUCUGACCUUCUCUCCAACCUUAUUUUAAAUAUUUUAAAGAUUCAAAGUAUAUAGGCUGGAAACCUGACGGGUUGCCUUAUAUCGAGCUGUAAGAUAUAAUGGAUCCUCCCUAGGUGUAACAACGCCACGUAUGAUGAAUCUUAAAAAAUUCAAAAAUACUUGAAAAAAAUUUCUAUCGAGCUCAUUUACUAUUGAAUAUUUAUUACCAUGUAGCUUGCUUGUCCAUUAAAAUGACAACAAUAUCUGACCUUCUCUCCAACCUUAUUUUAAAUAUUUUAAAGAUUCAAAGUAUAUAGGCUGGAAACCUGACGGGUUGCCUUAUAUCGAGCUGUAAGAUAUAAUGGAUCCUCCCUAGGUGUAACAACGCCACGUAUGAUGAAUCUUAAAAAAUUCAAAAAUACUGAUAUUGAUCAUUACUUAAAGCAAUUACAUAACUUACAUAACUCAUAUAACUUACAUAAUUUACAUAACAACUUACAUAACUCACAUAACUUACAUAAUUUACAUAUCUCACAUAACGUACAUAACAACUUACAUAACUUAACUAAUACAUGUAGUGUAAUCUAAUAAUUUCCUUAAAAGCAUAUAGUUUAAAGUUCAAAUUUCAUAACUUACAUAAUCUACAUAACUUACAUAAAACAUAAAAAUAUAUCAUAUCAAGACUUACAUAAUAAACAACUUAGCUGUGUAAUUUAUUGUCAACUUUAGAAGUCAAGAACUACAAAAUGAUAGGAGUUGGAUGAAAUUGUCAAGGGUAAGCAACGCCUAUCGAAAUAGAGUACAAACUUUUUUGAAUUUUGCAUUUCAAAAUGCAAGCCAAGAGAAUAUGAUUCUUUGCCCGUGUAAGAAGUGUGGCAACAUCAAUUGGCAUACUCGUGAAGUUAUCUACGAACAUCUAAUUGUUGAUGGAUUUAUUCGGGGGUAUAAAAAAUGGAUUUUCCAUGGAGAGUGUACAUCUAGUGGAACUUCUUCAACGAUUAAUCCGACUUAUCCUGAUACUGAUUACCAUCAGUAUGUUAGACAAGAUGACAUGGAAGGUAUGUUGCAGGAUGCAUUUAAUAUGCACAGUCAUGGUGACCAAUCGUUUGCACCUGACUUUAUUGCAUCCGAUGAUUGUAAUAUUGGUGGAAAUGUUUUUGGCGAAACGGAAACAAGUGCACCUUAUGAGGAGCCAAAUGAAGAAGCGGUGAAGUUCUUCAAUUUACUUAAUGAAAUGAACGAAGAACUUUACGAGGGAUCAAAAUAUUCGAAAUUGUCCUUCUGCAUUCGUUUAUUUCACUUAAAAUGUUUGGGAGGGUGGACUGGAAAUUCUUUUACAAUGCUGCUAGAGUUUCUCAGAGAGAUGUUUCCUUUUGCAAAAAUCCCCCAAUCUUGUCAAGAUAUGAAGAGACUAAUAAAAGAUUUGGGCCUUGGGUACGAUAAAAUUCAUAGUUGCCCAAAUGACUGCAUGUUGUACUGGGGUGAUCAGAAGAACCAACAGUGUUGUAAUGUUUGCGGCAAGUCUCGUUGGAUGAAUGGGAAUACAGAAGAUGUGAAUGCCGAUGAAGGUAGGGCACAGUUAAGAAAGAAGCCAGUCAAGGUUUUGCGAUACUUUCCCCUAAUACCAAGACUUCAAAGGCUUUUCAUGUCGUCAAAGACGACCGAAUCUAUGAGGUGGCAUAAUGAUCAACGGACCGAUGAUGGAUUAUUAAGACAUCCUGCGGAUUCUUUAGCUUGGAAAUCGUUUGACAUGAAAUUUUCAAGCUUUGCAAGCGAUCCUCGAAAUGUGAGGCUUGGGCUAGCAGCUGACGGCUUUAAUCCAUUUAAAAUCAUGAGUACUUCGUACAGUACUUGGCCUGUGGUGCUUGUUCCUUACAAUUUGCCUCCAUGGAUUUGCAUGAAGCAAUCUUCGUUUAUUUUAUCAAUGAUUAUUCCUGGAGAGAAAGGUCCGGAAAUGAUAUUGACAUCUAUUUGCAGCCACUUAUUGAAGAGUUAAAACAAUUAUGGUCGGGUGUUGAGACAUAUGAUGUAUUAAGAAAAGAGAACUUUUAUUUACGUGUAGCUUUAUUAUGGACAAUUAAUGAUUUCCCGGCUUAUGCUAAUUUAUCGGGUUGGAGUACUAAAGGAAGUUAUGCUUGUCCUUGUUGUGCUGCGCAAACUUGUUCGAAGUGGUUGUACAAUGGGAAGAAGUUCUCUUACAUGGGCCAUCGUCGAUGGUUAGAUGGAAAUCAUAAAUUUAGAUUUCAGAGGACUCUAUUUGACGAUACUGAAGAGUACAGAGGAGCUCUUCAGCAGACCGUUGGAUCUGAAAUCUUGUUUAUGUUAAAAGAUAUCAAAUUCAGUUAUGGGAAGAUGAAUCAACCACCUAACACGCAAUCAAAGCGAAGAUCGAGGGAUGAAUCCGAUGAUGAAUCUGACGAAGAGGAUGAUCCUAAUGAGGCAGACUUGUGGAAAAAAAGAAGUAUUUUUUUAGUUGCCUUAUAGGGAGCAUAAUAUUUUACGCCACAAUCUUGAUGUCAUGCAUAUUGAGAAGAAUGUCUGCGAGAACAUAGUUGGGACAAUUUUGAAUGUCGAUGGAAAAUCAAAAGACAAUCUUUAGAGUCGACUUAAUUUAGUUGACAUGAGAAUUCGGCUUGAUCUUCAUCCUCAAGUACUUCCGAAUGGGAAAUAUCGGUUGCCGCCUUCUAUUUUUUUAAUGUCAAAGGAAGAGGAAGAGGUGUUUUGUAUGGUGUUGAAGGAUAUAAAGGUCUCAGAUGCGUAUAUGUCAAAUAUAUCUCGAUGUGUGAGUCUUAAAGAUCGAAGAUUAUAUUCAUUAAAAUCACAUGAUUACCACAUCUUGAUGCAAGAUUUACUCCCAGUUGCUUUACGGUGCUGCAUGUCAAAAAAUGUGACGUCCUAUAUAAUUGAACUAUCCAAUAUAAUGAAAGCUAUUUGUGGUAAAGUUUUGGAUGUUGAAGAACUUAAGAAAGUACAGGAUCGAGCUGCUUUGACUUUCUGCAAUUUGGAGAAGAUCUUUCCACCUUCAUUCUUCACUAUUAUGGUGCACUUGAUAAUCCAUCUCCCUCACGAAGCAAUACUUGGUGGACCGGUUUUUUAUCGAUGGAUGUAUCCAAUAGAAAGGUGCUAAUUUAUUUGUCAAGUGUUUAUUUAAUCGCUUCUAUACAUUUAGUUACAACUUUUGAUAAAUAUUGUAUAUCGUGUUUAGGUUCCUAAGCAAAUUGAAAUCUUAUUGUCGCAAUAAGCGUUAUCCAGAUGGAUCAAUUGCUGAAGGCUACUUGGCAGAGAAGUGCAUCACAUUCUGUUCUAGAUAUUUAGAAGACGUUGAAACACGAUUGAAUAGACCAAAUAGAAAUGCUAGGCUCAAUGAUCAUAACUUGGCCGAAACUUAUUUAUUCCAAAGUUAUGGAGAACCAAUCGGCAAAGUUGAAAUUGCAGAAUUAGAUGAUAUAUCGUGGAUACAAGCACAUCGAUAUGUCCUUUUUCACCACGAUUUAGUUGAACCGUUACGCAAGUAAGUUCUAAAAUUUCCUCACAUAUUCGUCAUUUUGAUUUGUUUAUCUUCUAACCAAUUACACUUUUUUUAACAUAGUGAGUACAAACAAAUUUUGAGAUCUCGUGCACGCUCUCGAAGAUUGCAACAUCGAGAGAUUAAUAAGUUAUUCACAGAAUCUUUUUAUGAAUGGUUAAGUCAAACGGUAUGUAACUAAAGUUAAUAAGUUACAUAUAAUCCUGAAAUUUAGUUAAUUAUUCAAUUUACUUUCGAUUCAAUAGGUUUGGAGUGGAAAGGACGUCCAUGACGAAGUUAAAUGGCUUUCCCAAGGUCUGAACAGAAUAAUAAAAAGAUAUAGUGCCUUCUUCAUCAAUGGAUACAGAUUUCAUACAAAGUAUCGUGAGAGAAUGAGGAGAACUCAAAAUUGUGGAGUUGUUGUUAAUUCUUCAAUUACAAGUUAUGCUAGUGCUAGGGACAGUAAUCCGGUUGAGGGUAAUGUGGAGUAUUACGGACUUCUUACCGACAUUAUUGAGUUGGAUUACUAUGGCAGAUGGAAAGUUGUCUUAUUUCGGUGUGAUUGGGCUGAUGUUAAUACUGCUCGAGGAAUUAAAGAAGAUCAAUUUGGUUUUACAAUGUUGAAUUUCUCUCGCUUGAUUCACACUGGACAACAAUUGAUGGACGAGCCAUAUGUAUUUUCCUCUCAAGUGAAACAAUUUUUUUAUUCGAAAGAUCCAACUGAUGAGGGUUGGUAUGUUGUACUCCGAAACACCCCUAGAGACUUGUUUGAAAUGGGUAAUGGAAGUAGAGAUGACAUCGUCGAAAGAUCAGAAACAUUACCUUUUCCAGAACAAAACUUAGAUGAAAAUAUCCCUAGUACUAAUACACAACAUCAAUGGGUUCGACAUGAUGUGGAUGAAGAUAUUUACGAAUAAUGAUGUAGUAAGAUUUUACAAUUUUUUAAUUAUAUGUAAUAUUAUAAUUUUAAUCUUUGUCAUGUUAUAUAAUUUAACUAUUUUAUAUGUACUACUAUUGUUUUAAUUUGUUACUAAAGCUUUAACUAUUUUAUGUGUAUUGCAGGAAAAAUGCGUAGAAGAAGAUUACGAGAUUUAAGUAUUGUCCAAAAUACUCCAAAUUCGGAAGAAGGAAAUAGUGAACAGCAGACAGUUGUUGGAUCUUCGAAUGUGCCGGAGACACUUGAUAAGCCUGAAGAAUAUCAAAGUAAUGUUAUGUUCAUUUUACAUGUGUUGACUUUUAUUAUUGAAUUAUUUGUCAAUUUUAAUAUAAUAAUAGUAUAUCAUUUUUCAGCUGAAAGUGGUGAGACGCGUAGAGUUCGAGGAUGUACGCUACUUAGAGAUUUAUACGACUUAGAUCCUGUCGAGCGUGUUAAAGUAAGUAGAAAUACUCAUGGUCAGCUUGUUGGAUCUAAAGCUUGACUUUUAGCAGGCUAUUUGGGCAUUUUAGCACGAAAUGCAAAUAUGUUGCCCAUCAACUACGAAUCAUGGCAUCACAUGCCUGAUAGCAACAAAAAUCAGGCUCUCGCUAAUAUUAAGGUAACAAAAUGUGAAUGCAAUUUAUAAUACUUUGGUUUAAGUUUCAUUUAUAUUUACAUUCUAAACUUAUGUUUUUUAGAAGAGAUUUGCUUUAGAAGUCUCUGAUGAUUAUAUCAAGAAGGCAUUAGAUAAAAGAUGGAGAGACAAUAAAAGCACUUUAAAGAAACAAUAUUUUAAGAAAGACAUAAGCCUCGAGGAAAAACUGAGAAAUGUUCCGCCAGGAAUGCUGAGGUAUCAAUGGGAAGAUGCUGUUAGAUUUUGGAAUUCAAAGAAAGGAGAGGUAUUGCGUAUUUCCAAACUCUUAUAUAUAGUGUUUACUAUAUACGUAAUAAUAAUUUUAUUAUGUAGGACCGUGAGCGAGUUGGAACAAGCAGCAGACAAAAACAAAAAUUCACGCACACAGCAGGGUCGAGAAGUUUUGCUUCUGUAGUUGAGGCCGAGGUAUUAUGAAUUUAUUAAUUCUUUCAAAUAUUAAUAACUUUCUAUUAUUAAAUAAUAUUCUUACUACUAUAUUGUAGGAAGUCAAAUCCGGACAAAAAGUUGGACGCCUUCAGCUUUUUGAGAUUACGCAUAGGAAGAAAGAUGGAUCUCCUAUGACAUCCGAAGCUGGAGAAACUAUGGUAUAUUCACUUAAUAAUAUUUGAUUUAUUCUAAAUAUUUAUAAUCUUUAAUUAUAAUUGUUUAAUUCAAUUCAUCAUUAGUAGUUUUAAAUAAUGUUAAGUUAUGUUGCAUUUCUUUUUAUUAUAUAUUUCGUUUCUAACUCUUUAAUUGAUCUUUUAUGAGAAACUAAAGGAGAAGAAGGCGGAAUAUGAAGCGAUUGCUUCGAGUGAUAGUUCUGUUAAUCUUGAGAACAUUGAUAACAGAAUUAUCACUGAAGUUUUGGGUCCUGAAAGGUACGGUCGGGUUCGAUUUCAAGGAUCUGGUGUUACCCCGACCCAAUAUUUUGAAUCCGGCUCCCAACAAUACAUGCCUUCCGGAAGUCAAGCUCAAGCUGAAGUUCAGAGGUUAAGAGACCAGAUAGCUCAGAUGCAAGCGAACAUGGUUGAGCAAAUUACCGAGGUUCAACGAAAAUAUGAAGAACUCCAGCAACAACUUAGAGCGGAGGCAGCAGAGAGGGAGGCAGCAGCUGCAGCGAGAGAGGCAGAGGCACGAGCGAUGGUAGCAGAACAGAGCAAAAAGUACGAUGACCUCCAGCUACAGCUUCAGCAGAUAAUGCAUAUGUUUCAACAAUCGCAAAAGCCGCCGUCUUAGACAUUAGUUUUCUUAUUGUAAGAAUGUUUUUAAGUUUUGUCACGUUUAACAUUAUUCUAAAAAUAUUUUAAAUUAUACUUUAUUUAUUAAUUAUAUCAUAUAUCUUUAGUUAAAUUUGAAGUAUCAUUUAGAAUUAAUGUUUUUGGUUGUAUUUUUUAUGUUAAAUUUGUUGUAUUUGGUUGGAUUUUAAUGCAGGAAGGGCUGGAUAUUGGUGAAAAAAAAUAUUACAAAUAUGCCAAAAUUAGUGGCGUUUGUAGAAAAAGCGCCGCUAAAAGCCUUGACCUUUAGCGGUGCUUUUCCCACAAACGCGCUAAAAGCCUUGACCUUUAGCAGCGUUUUUCCCACAAACACCACUAAAAGCCUUGACCUUUAGCGGCGUUUUUUUCCAAUAAACGCCACAAAACCUAUGCGGCAUUUUUUGCGGCAUUUUAGAAAGCGCCGCAAAAAGUUUUAGUGGCGCAUAAAAGCGCCGCUAAAAGUCUAUUUUCCUGUAGUGUUUGAUGGAUAACACUUGUACAUAUGUUAAUAUCCAUUGCCUCUACAUCUAUUAACAUUAUAACUUAGUGAACUAAUUAUGUUUGUAUUAAGAAUAAACAAGUUAGCUAGAUAUCACUCUUAAGUUGCAUGAGGCAGUUCCUGUACUAGUUUGAUGUUUUAUAGAUAUAUGACUUAAUUGUCUGAUUUAAUCCAAAAGUCAUCUUUUCUUUUGCAUGUUUGGUUUGCUUGAGUACAAGCAAAGAGUUAAAUAUGGAGGAGUUUGAUCUACCAUAAUUUGAUAUGGCAAAUUAGACUUUGCCAAUAUACUUAAGGACCUUAUUCUCAAGCAAAGUAGCAUUUUUUUCAUAGUUUUUUAUAUUUUUUAGAUUUUAAGUUAAUAAGUGUAAAUGUCUUGUUUUUAUUCAUUUUAUGAUCAAAUUUGGCCAAUAGUACUACUGGGGGGCCUAACAUUUGGUUGAGUGGUGUAAGGAUUUGCUGAGGUUAAAAACGAGUGAAAACGACACCAAAGGAAAAUGUAUCGCGAUUUUCAUACCUUGAAAUCGUGGUACCUCCAACAGUAUAGAAAGAUGGGAGACCACCUUUCAGUGGUAUCGUAUUAUCCACUCUCAAAGAAGACCCCAAGUUUCAAAACUACCUGAGGAAUCGAGAUAUCUUUUUCUAGGUAUCACGACACCAACUUUGUGAGGGGGACAAAAUUGGAUAAAAAGAGUAGUCUUUUUCUACCCGAUCCACCAAUCAACUAAGGCCCAUGUAAGGGCAAUUUUGGAAAUGAAAUACUAACAGCAUUCAACUUAAAAUAACCAAUUUUGGUUGAGGAGAGGAGACACACAUUAGUUUAGUUUUAGCCUUAGUUUUCUCUAGGUUUUCUCUAGGUUUUCUUCUUUUUCUAGGGUUUUUUUUUAUUUUCAUUUCUUUAGCGGUAGAUUUUAUAUUUCCUAACAACUUUCUUUCUUGUUUUAGUUGUUCUUAGUAGUAGUUAAAUUAGUUAUUACUAUAGCUUAAGUUUAUUUGCACUUCCAAUCCCUAUACCUUGGUUGUAAUACAUUUCUAACUUUAGUUUAAUGCAUUUUAGUUUCUUUUACUUUAAAUCUGUUAAAGUUUAUUCCUUUUAUGUUUAUUGCUUUAGAUUUCCUUGUUGAAUGCCUUUAGUUUUAUGUUAAGUUUUCUUUCAUAAAAAUCCAAACUUUCAUAUUUUUUUCUUAAACUUCAAUGUUUUGUUUGCUUUUCCUUUCCAUGUCCAUUCUCUUUAUGUUCAGCAUAAAUUGCAAAACCUAAAAAAGGAUUUGGUUAAUGAAAAUGUAGGAAAGCUGAUUUUUCAAAAAAGGACUAAAUUGUAAUAUUUGGACUAAAUUAAGUAGACUUAAAAAAUUAAGAAGUGAUGCCCCUAAGGGAAUAUCUAGGCAAGUGAGAUCGAAAGAUAAUCUUUUCUAAGAUUUUCUUUAAAGCUCUAAAAUUUUUAGAAACACACCCCAAAGCAAUCGUUUAUCAAACAAUUUAAUCAUGUCUCUUACUUAAAUUUAACAAACAUACCACAUUGAUUUUAAAAGUAUUUAAUAGUUUAACAUUUAAUUUUUCAACACAACACAUAAGUGAAAACAAAGGAAAAAAACCAUGUAUACUUUUAAUAUUAUAAUUGAUGUAUAGAUUAGAGACCUUUCACUUAUCACAUUAUAAUUGAUGCAUAGAACAUAAAAUGUUUUUCAUUUCAACAACCAGAUAGUUUCCAAAAUGACAAAUAUUGAAAUUUUAUUUUAAAAAUUACUCCUCUAAUUAUUAUUAAUUACAUGAAAAACAUAAUUAAAAUAAACCCAACUUCAAAGUUAAAAACACUAAUUAGUAACAUGGGGAAGUGAUGGAGAUGGAGGGACUGGUGUAGUCAUUAUUCCUUCCGGCAUCAAGAUCACAUUUUUCAUCAGUGGACGCAAAUUGGGAUCAUCUUGGAUGCACCAAAGCCCCACCUUCACAAACCUUUCCACCAUUUUCAUGUCCACUUCUUCUUCACCUUCCACGAGCUUAUUCAACUCUCCCCCAACAAAGCAAUUGUUUACAAAUGUUGAAAGCAGUAUCUCAUCUGCACUGCGACCUUCUACUUCUAUGUUGCUUCUGCAACAUAUGAUCUCCAACAGUACCACUCCGAAACUGUAUACAUCAACUUUUACCGAUAACAAUGCACUGUUUUGCCAUUCAGGUGCCGAGUACAAUGCUGUUCCACUUGUACUGCUUGUUUGAUUAGGCCUCAAUAGCUUUGUCAAUCCGAAAUCCGAAAUCUUUGCAGUCAAUGAAUCAUCCAAGAGUAUGUUGAGGGGCUUAAUGUUGCAAUGGAUGAUACUCACCUCACACUCUUCAUGUAAAUAAAGGAUACCUUUAGCCACGUCCAACGCUAUUCUGGCUCUCUGUUUCCAAACCGGGCGUUCAUUCCUGUUGAAUAGAAAAUCUGCUAGGGAGCCAUUGCUCAUGUAUUCAUAAACAAGGAACUUCCUUGAACCUUCCACACAAAAUCCAAGCAAUCGGACCAAGUUCCUGUGGUUAUUUCUUCCAAUGGCUGUCAUCUCAGUUCGAAACUGAUCCCUUUCUCCUUCCUUAACCAUUCCUAAUCUCUUAACAGCAAUACUUUUACCAUCCCCUGGCGAAGUUCCUUUAUAAACCGCUCCAAAUGAGCCUCUACCCAACUCAUCUUGGAAACCUUGUGUUGCUUCAUCUAGCUCAUUGAAAGUGAAUGAUCGUAGUGUAAAUUGCUCGGCAAAUCCUGAACUUUUACUUUCUAAAAGCUUCUCAUAACUAUGGACUCGAUGCCUGUAUAACAAGAAGCUACAUAUUGCAAUCACAAAACACAAGCUUGCAACGGAACCCAAACUUAAGCCCAUAGUUAAAAUGAGGCUUUGGUUUCCUUCGCUUACCAACAUUGGACUUGUUUUAGGUGGGGGGCUAAUGAUGCUACCCGGAAUCAACUUGAUGAAGGCUGUGGUUGUUAUAUUUACAUGUUUUCUACCAUAUUUAAGCGGUAAUGAAUACAUGCUACAGCGAUUUGGGCUAUAGAGAGCUCCACCACAGG